UUUGCAAUACCUUCUGUAAAGAAAUAUCCUCACCCACUGCUGAGAACUUCACUUGGCUAUCAAUUACAGAUAUAUAAAGCCUGUUACCUAGAAACAAAAAAUUAGGUCAGCCAGCUAAAACAUAUUUAUAAACCAACAUUGGAGAUAGUACUCCAUUUAUAAACAAAAUUACAAGACUCAAAACCAAGUCGACUCAGCAAAAUCAUAACCGAUUACAUUCAUCCCACUCAGCUCCUCCACUCCCAUCAAUAUAUCCAACAUUCCCUUCAUAUUUACAAAAGGUAAGUGGUCCUAUAUAUCCCACUCAAGAAUGCAUAAGUUUCUUCAAUCUUAAGUAUCUAAAGUUUUCCUCUACGUUUAUAGAAACUUCGGAAGCAUCUCCCUAUAGUUCUUCAAGUACACGACAUAGAUAUAUGAAUGUUUAUGUGUUAUGCCAAAACAACACAUGACACCCAUUUGUCUAGUAUGCACCCAGAGAACAUGAGGAGCAGCUGCUGAAAAACCCAUUUUUACGUGGGAAAAAAAUUUCAGGCACUAGCUGCCAUAGAAAUCUAUGCAUUACCAAACUGUCCAAGCCUAGAUAUUUCAAGAAUUAUUAAUAGACAUAAGAUCCUCACUAUCAUCCAAAAGAUGACACUAAUAAAACAUGUGUCUAUUAAUAAUUUCUUAAAGGAGUUUAAGCUUUCAAUGCAUGUAUCAAAAGUUUAAAAUUGAAUCUGAAACUUGAAUAACACAUAAAAAUCAUAAAUCUCUUCAAUUUAUUCCUAAUAAAAUGUAGCAUUUUUUCACAUUUCAUUUCUUAAGCAAAACCAUAAAAAAUUACAAACAAUAAAUACAUUUUCUAGCACUGAUGCACAUUAUGUUUACUGAGCAAUAAGUUUUAAGUCAUUCAUAUUAAAAUACUUCUUCCUAUUCUAUCAACAAAUAACUAGUACGUACACACAAUUAAUAAAUUAAAUGUAACCUGGUUGUGAAUCUUGCAAAGUCUUCCUAUUUUUUUUUUUUUUUUUUGGUGGGGGGGGGGGGGGAGGGGGGAGGGGGUGGUUAUGCUCAUUUGUGUGUUGUUAACAGAAAUUGAUCCAAAGCCUCAGUUUUAAUUAGCUUCAUUAUAGCCAAUGAUUAGGUGUUUAAAAACCAAUGAAUAUUUUUUAUAAGAAAUCAACAAUAUUGUUGAAAGAAAAACCAAAUAAAAAUAAUAAAGCAAUGCAUAGAUUAAGGCUCUUUAUUAUCUAAUAACUAAUCAAACUAAGUUGUGGGUAAAGGAGAAUAUGUUUGUUUGGCCAAUAAUAAACUCAAGGAAUCACCAAUAAUCACCUAGUUACUAUUCCUUAUGCCAUGCAAUGUAAUGGCGUCGGUAAUGGCGACAAGGCAGGCAAUAACUAGCUAGCUAGUUAUGAUAGUUGCUUAACUUAACCUACUGGAAAUCUGAAGACCAAAAUGAAGAAACUUUGCCUAGAACUAGAAUAGGAAAACAUUCAUACCCAAAACCAAUAUACAUGAUUAAGAAACUUGAUUAUAUGUAUAUUUUUGUUUGCCACACCAAAUCCCACUAUUUCCAUACUCAUAAGCACAAAAAACCAUCGCAAAAAUGAAUGACCAUAUAAAAUAAAAUAGGUCGCAGGACAUUGAGAAUAGGACAAUAUGAUUUAUGUACUGUAAAAUAACUAUAUCUGCAGUCAACUAUAUUUCUGUUAGAACUCUAAAGUUUUCCAUUAAAUUUUUUUCCCUGUUAGGUAAACCACUUAACUGAAACACUUAAGCAAGAUUGACAAUCAUAGACAUAAAAGUAUUAAUAGGCUCAUUCAAGUGAAAUGAGCAUUAUUUCACAUAUCCUUUAGGCUUUUAAGUCAUUUAGAAGUCAUUCAUGUUAAACAAUUUCUUCAUAUACUUUCAAUAUAAUUAGUACAUACACAAUUAAUUAAUUAAAUAAAUCUGUUUCAGCUAGCACAGGAACUUAAGCAAUCAGAGCUAUUAGUUAUAGCUAGGACUUGAAUGAGGCACCUUUCAAAGUUCAAGAGGAGCAUCUGAACAGAAUGAAAGCAGUUUGUAGAAAUGGUAGUGAUGCUUUACAUCUACAUGCUCUUACACAAUAUGAACUUUCAUUUAUUCAAGAACAUAACACUAAUCCAAGCUCUUACUCUACAAGUCAAUUCAGUUUGUAGAUGCAAGCCAUUGUAAAAACUUUUGUGUUAUAAUUUCCGUAAAUGGAACAUGACAUUACUAAUAUAGAAUCAGCAAUGUUAUAUAACUUAUCAGACAAUAUAACAAGCACUUGGCGAGCAUAUAAGAUAAACUAAAACAAGUUAAUUAGAAAAUGAAACUAAAACCCAAGCUCCGCUAUUCAUUGUAGAAGCUUUAAACAUAAAAUUAAACUAAAUCUAAUGCCAAAACAUUAGAAUGGAUGUUGGAAUUAAAGCUAAAUUCAAUAGUAAUCCAAAUGAAUCCAUUUGAACUUUGUAAACUCCGCAGAACAAAAUUAAUUUGAGUGAGCAAACUCACCAAUGGCACAAGAACAGAAGGGCUUCAACUUCUAGGAACAAAAAACAUUGCCGGUGGGACAAAAAUUGACAUUAAUGGCUACAAUACGAAUUAAAGAGAUCAAAACCUAUAAUUACAAGCUAAGAAAGAGAGGAAACUCAUAAUCACAAGCUUACCUGAAACGAAGAGAGAGAAUAAGAUGAAGAAGAAGAUCGCUGCCGUUUUACGCCAUUCUCCGGCUACCAGUAAGGUUUAGGAUGCUGGCCAGGCACGAGAGAGAAUUUGGGACUUUGGUCUUCAAAAUAUUGACUCCAGCAAAUAGUUUUCUAUUUAGAAACAAAUUUAUAACUCUACCGUCACUCUCUACCGUCACGUGGUUAGUAACAUAAGUGAGAGCAGUCUAGCCGUCACAUAAACGGUCACAAAAGCAACUGGCUGUUACAAGUUUAGGAAUGGCAGAUAUUGCCGCGGGGACAUGACCCUCGAGAUUUUCCCAAUUCAGGUGGGUACAUAAUUUUUUACUUAAUUUUUUAUUUGAAAAGGAGACGGAGAUAGUUUUUUUACCUAAUUUCUUAUUCAGAGAAAGAAUGGGGGAUCGGCAGAAUCCCUAUUCUCUUCUAAUUUUUUGAUUUAAUUUUAUUUUUUAAAAUUAUUUGUAAAUAAAUAAUAAAAUAUAAAUAAUAAAAUAUUAAAUAUUAGUAUAAAUAAAAAAAUAAAAUAAUUAUAUUAUUAAAAUUUAGGCCUAAUUGACUACAUUAAUAUUUGGAUGAGAAAGUUAUGCUUAGGAUGAAAGAUUUUAAUAUUUUGAGUUGGUGUAAAAUAAAUGUCUAUAGAUAUCCUAUACUGGCAUGAAUUGCUAGAGAUAUUUUGGCAAUUCUAAUUACAAAUGUUGCUUCUGAAUUAGCUUUUAGCACCAGUGGUAGAGUACCGUAACACGCUUUAUUCAAGCACAUUGGAGGCUUUAAUAUGUUGUCAAAGUUGACUACAAGCUUACAAUGACAGUAUGAGUUUAUUUUACAUUGUAAUUAUAUUAUAUAAUUAUUAAUAUUUUCACUUAGAAUUUACAUUACUUAUAUUAUUUUUGUUGUUUUAAAUUUGAAAUCUGAGGCUAUCUCUCAAUUUGUCACAUUCCUCGAGGAAGAACAAGAAGAGUAGGAGACACAAGAGGUAAAUACUUUUAUUAGAAAUAUUGAUUAAGUAUCUAUAUUCAUUUCAUUUAUCUCAUUGUUGAUAUAAAAGUAAUUUCUUUUUUUUUAUUAUAUGAUUUUGAAGAUUGCCGAAGAUAAUUAUUAUGGUGAUUUAUACUUUGUAAUGUGACUUUUGUAAUAGAUUAAUGUUAAUGUAAGAUAUAUCGUCAAACUUUAUUUUUAUUUUUAUUUUUUAUUUUAAUAUGAUUAAAUUAAAAUUUAAAACUAAAAACGUAUCAGUUAUUCGAGAAUCGAGGACCUUUAAGGAUCCCCUAUUAUUAUUUGGGGAGGGGAGGGGGAUUCCCUAAAGCAAUUUUGUGAAUGGGAAGAGGCCAGGGAUAUAUACAGAAUAUCGAGAAUGGGUACGGGGAGGUCGGUCUCUUCCCCUCCCCUUCCCAUUGCCAUUCCUAACAAAGUUGGCAAUACAUGUACGGGCCGCUUUUGUAAAAUUGCUUUAAGGGUCGUUUGGGAUUGCUUUUGGGAAUAGCAUGCAAGAUAUAUAUAAAAAAUAAAAUCGUAGAAUAACUUUUACCUCUAAUUCGAUUUUUUCUUCUUUUUUGUAAAUUAUUAUGCAUUUAUAUUAAAGUCACUGUGUAUGAUUGGAUUAUUAAAAGUUAUUUGAGAGAAUAUGAAUUGACUUAAUAAGUUAUUACGUGAUUGAUGAUGAUCAGAGCUUACCCAACUGGCAUUAAGUGGAAAAGACUCGAGGAUGACUUUGCAGAGCGAUUUCCCACAACACCUUUUUGGCAGUCUUAAACUACUACAAACAGUGGAUGAUGACUCAACUUGUUUUCCACUUGAUUUACUUGAGAGAUUUCAUAAUCUGGAAACUCUCAUACGGCGUCGUUGUUCAUGCGAAGAGGUAUUUUCGAAUGGAGGAUACUUGAAGAAACAUGUGAGGAAGUUUACAAUGAUAAAACAUUUAGAUCUGCACAAAUUUAAUCAUCUGAAGCAAUUGUGGAAACAAGACUCCAAAUUGGACUCGUUUGUUCAAUGCCUUGAAAUUCUAAAUGUACAUUAUUGUCAAAAUCUGUUAAUUCUUUUGUCUUUGCUGCUAAUUCUUUAAUUCUUUUCGGUUCUUAAGUUUCUCUGUGAUUUGUUCUGGAUUGAUUCUUUUUGCAUCUUGGUUGUUUGAUUUGCGAUCUUGGCGAGUAUUUGGAGUUGAUCAUUAUCGAAUCUGUCACUCCAAACUCUACAGCGACUCUUAUCAAUGUUGGUAUAUGGAUGCAGAGCAAUGAGAGAGGUGGUGAUAAAUGACGAAGAUGGAGCAGCAAAUUUUGAAGAAGAGAUUGUUUUCACCAAAUUGAAGAUUUUGUAUCUGUAUGAUUUGGAUAGUCUCACAAGUUUCUGCUCUGCCAAUUACACCUUCAAAUUCCCAUCUUUGGAAGAUUUAUCUAUAAUUGGUUGUCCCAAGAUGAAGAUUUUCACUAAAGGAGAAUUAAACGCGCCUCUCAGAGUAAACUUCUACUAUGGAGAGAGAGACGAUCAACAGCCUUGGGCUAAUAAUGAUCUUAACACAAUCAUACAGCAUUUACAUGCUGAGAAGGUACGAAUAACUCACUAUCACCAGUGGAAAAAUUUUAUAAAAUUUCUCUUUUAAAUAAAAUGCACCAAAUAGAUCAGAUAUUUGUUAUAAAGUAAGUUUAUGAUCACGUACUGGCAGAUGGGAUACAUAUGUGCUUCAUUCUUGAAACUCUACCCUAUUUAAAAUUGAUAUUUUCACAAGAGUUAGAGAAUCCUAUUCAUUCAAUUAUCCAAAAUCAGAGAAUCUUAUUCAUUCAAUUACAAAAUUUCGUUAAUCGUUAGUUUUUAACUUCAUUACUGUAUGGAAGUCCUGUCAAAUUAAAUUGCUGUUGUUAAAUUUAUUAAAUCUCUUGCUUCCCUGCAAAUCUCUGCGUGCUUUACUUUUAAUUGAAACUAAUGAAUGAAAAUUUUACUUUCAGCUGUUGGAGGGGUCCUCAUCUUAUUCAAUGAUGUAUAUGUCCUAAUGGCAUUGGCCUUUUACUUUAAUUACAAGCGAGUUGUGAAUUUGAAAAACAAAGUCCCAGGUAAUUCAAUUUCAUUUCAUUUUAUUUUAUUUCUUGGCUUGUUUUAUCGCUUCAUCUAAAUUGUUUGGAAUACACCACUAGUUUAUUUUUACUUUUAGAAUGAGUUUUAAUGUUUUGUUCUGAGAUUUAUAUGCUGAUUUUAUAUCAUUAAAGGUCUUAGUGACUUAGUUUGGUCUUCACUUAUUUAUUUAUUUAUUUUUUUGACGUCGUGGCUUUAUAAUGUGUUUUUUUUUUUAAUUUUGAAUUUUAUAAUUCCUUGAAAAUGUCAUUGAAAGGGCCAGCACUUUUAUGUGGAAACCAUCUCAUCCUCCUUAUUUCAAACUAUUAAACAACCAAAUGUAUCCUAACAUAUAUGUUUAGAAUCAAUCUACUCAUUAAGAUAUAUGGUAAUGGUGUCAUCUGUUUGCUAUAGUUUGAUUACAAGAGAACUUUUCCAUUUGUUAGUUGCCAUCUUUGUUGAUCUGUUAAUUCAGUCUUCUUCUGUUUGUCCUGUUUAUCUGUUUAUUUCAACCUUUCUUUCAAAACUUAGAAGGUAUGGAAAGAGCAAGUACUUAGAAAUUGCGAGAAUUAUAUCAAAUCAUGCAUAUAUGCCCCUGCCUAUGAACUCUUAGGAACAAUCGAAUAUCUUUCCUUGAAUAGCAUAAAACAAAAUCUACAGAUCAUUAAACCAUCAAAAGUUAGCUAUGAACAACUAUAUAAAAAUCAUUUGUUUCUCACCUUUUCGUGAGUCUGAGAAGUUGUAAAUUCUACUGAGUUUCUCACCUUUUUUUUUUUUUGGACAAUUGGAGUUUUUAGUUUAUGAAACUUAAUGCCUAUAUUUCUCACAUUGUAAAAGUGUUUUGAAAAGAUGGUUUAUAUUGCACCAUAAAAAUGUGGUCUGAUAAACCAACAGGGGAGUAGUUUGAUCCAGUUACGUGAAAUGCAUGCAAAAUAAUAUUUUCUCUAUAGUUACUGAAGAGAAUUUUGGUCACUUUGGUGUGCAUUAUCUGGAAUAAAGUCGUUUUCCAGUUUCUUCAAAGUUUAUGUGCGGAGGACUUCCGGUUUCCAUCUCAAGUUCAAAUACUAAUAAAGAUGAGUAAAUUCAUCAUCCGUGUGUCUGCUCUUUCUAUGCAUUUUGACAUUUUUUAUUAAUGCGUCUUUAACAGUAGUUUUUUUUCACAGAAAAAAUUGUCAGUAUUUUGUGUCAAAUAAAAAAUUAAAAAAUAUAUAUGUAUUUUGGGCGAAACUUUUUGCGAAAAAUAAUGAGUGCCAACACUUUAUAACUUAAUAUGUAUUUUGGGCUUGGCGAAGUUACGGUUCAUGUAACUAAUCAAUUUAAUCAUUACCGGAUAAAAUUGAAUACACCAGUAGUGUUUUUCCACGGAGAUAUUGCCAAAUUUUGUGUCAAAUAAAGAAUAAAAACCAUAAAUACCAGUAGUGUCCGAUUUUGAAAGCAAAGCAGCAUACAUAUUAACUACUAGGCUUUGAUGGUGGUUGCAGUAAAAAGGAUUAAAAGAGAGAGAGAGAGAGAACUUGAAAACUAUGGAAUGGAAGAUAAAUCAAAGUUAUAAAUUUGGACUCAAUAGUUUUGAUGUUCAAUCAAAUAUGGAGGGGCGAUUAGAAAUUAUCAAAAAUUUAGAGGGAUUUCAACCGUUCAAUUCAUUAUUAGGCGUUGUAGACUGCAGGGAUGCAGAAAUUUCCACAGGGACGAUGGCCCCGAGGGAUCUUCCUCAUUCGGGAGUUUGAUAAUUUUAGAUCUAAUUUUUCUAUGUGGAGACAAGACUGUGAUCAAUUAAUAUGUGUGGGUGUAAGUUACAUGAAAUAUAACUUAGUGUUUGCCCUAAUAUUUUAUUUGGCUCCACAUUUUUCUAUUUCUAUCUUUAGUUCUAUUUUUAAUUAAUUUAUUUCAAAUUUAUAGUAAAUACAUUUAAAAUUUCAAUUAUAAUAGUGUGAUGUAAAUAAAAAAUAUCACAAUACAUUUAUAAAAAUAAUAUAAAUAACAGCCAAUAUAAAGUAAAUAUAAACAUUUUAAAAUUGACAAAGAUAAUUUAAUUGAUGGUUUAUACUAUAUGACAUUUAUGGAUGAGUUCAACUUUGAAGAUUUACUUUUGCUUAAUUAGUUCAAAGAUUAUCUUCUAAUUUGAUGACAUUGACUUAAUUUGAUGGAAAUGAUUUUAAUCACUUUAGUUAAUUUGAUAUUUUUUGUGUUAAUAUGAUUUUAUAUUUUUACUUUAAGAUGAUUAAAUUAAGAAAAAAAAGAAAUUAAAUAAUCAGAGAUCGGAUAGCAUCGGAGAUCCCUUUGUAUUAUUUAGAAACAUCCAUCCCCUUCUUUCAAGUGAUUUUGAAGGAAAUGUCUAGAGUACAAAGAGAUAGACAGAGUAUUAAAGAUGAGUAUGGGGAAAUCAAUCCCCUCUCCUUCCCUUCUUAUUGACAUCUUUACAUGUGAGCCCAAGGGGAAAUGCACCAUGCCUGAUAAAAGUAAAAUUAAAAAUAAAAAUUUUCUUUUAUCAAAUCACUCUAUGUGGUGGAGAUUAUUGUAUAAUCAAGUACACAUGGCAUUUUUAAAAGCUUUUUCUUUAUUUAAAGCUCUAAAGGUUUGCCUAAGAGUCAAGGUUGGUGCCGUUCUUCUAGAAGAACAACCCGUAUCUUUUGAUAUUCAAAGUUUGAAUAUCAAGUUCAAACUUUAAAUUUUGAAAUAAUAAUAAUAAUAAAUAUAAAAAGUGCCAAAUUUUUAGCUAUAAAUAGAGGGGUUCACCCCCUCAUUUCACUCAUUCCAUUCUUUUCUUCUUUAGUUCUAUAAUGAGAGAGUAAGAGUUUUAUACUCUUGAGUGACUAGUGUUUAGAGAGAUUGGGUGUAUUAAGGUUUUGAUAAGUGAAACAAAAUACUAAAAUACUUAUAAUUCUCAUUUCACUAGUAAAGUUUUAUCCUUUUGUCCUUGCCUAUGGGCAUAAGUUAAAAGCCGAACCAAAUAAUUUAUGGUGUCCUCUGUGUGCUUGUUCUUCAUUUUCUUCCAAUUUCAUUUUAGUCGUGGCCCUACUUCACCAAUCAAUUUUCUAAUAGUGGUAUUAGAGCCGGGUUGUAUUUUUUGGGGUCGAGAUACUAUUUACAUAUAUUGUAUUGUUCAUGUAUAUGAUAUUGUUUCUGUAUACGACACUUUAUUCAUAUAUACAGUUACUGCUCAUGUGAAAUGGUAGGAAUCGAUCUUAGCAAAGGUAGCUCGUGGUGAAAAGUGAUGGCGGAAAAAUACAAAAUUGAGAAGUUCAACAGAAAUAAUUUUUCGUCAUGAAAAAUGAAGAUGAAGGUUGUAUUGAGGAAAAGUAAUUGCUUGGCAGCAAUUGAAGAGAGGCUCACAAAGAUAACUAAUGAUGGCAAGUGGAAUGAGAUAGACAAUAAUGCCAUUGCAUAUCUACACUUACCACUUUCAGAUAGGGUAUUUUUCAAUAUGGUAGAGUAAAAGAGAGUAAAGGAAAUAUGGUUUACUCUCACAAGACUAUACGAGGUCAAAUCACUACAAAAUAAAAUCUUCUUAAAGAUGAGGCUUUAUACUCUUCAAAUGGAGGAAUCUACAUCAGUGAUCGACCAUAUCAACACUUUAAAGACUUUAUUUUCAUAACUUACAACGUUGGGUCAUAAAAUAGAGGAAAAUAAACAUAUAGAGCUUUUACUUCAAGGUUUACCAGAUUCGUAUGAUCAAUUCGUCAUUAAUAUAACUAAUAACAAUCGAGCAAACAAGUUAGUCUUUGACAAUAUGGCAGCCUCCGUAUUAAAUGAGGAGAGUAGCAAAAAAUAAAAAAGAUAGACAGAAGAGUUCGCAACAAGUAGAAGCGCUAUUGGUGAUGAAAGGAAGAUCCAUGGAACGUGGCCCUAGUGAGAGCCACAGUCACGGUAGAUCAAAAUCUAGAAGUAAAAAGAAUGUCAAAUGCAACAACUGUUGCAAGAAAGGGCAUGUCAAGGAAGAGUUUUGGAACAACUAGAAGAGAAGAGAUGGUAAAGAUUCUGAGUCAUCAAAUGCUCAAGGGUAUGUAGUAAGUACCUCGUAUGAUGGCAAAAUUCUCUACAGUAAGGCAACAACUGCUUCAGAAGAUAGAAAACCACUAUAUGACAUCUGGCUUAUAGACUUAAUAGUUGCCUGGCACAUGAUCUCUCCAAGAGAAUGAUUUCACAAAUAUGAACCUAUUUCAAGAGAAUUUGUAUACAUAGGUGAUGAUUAUGCCUUUGAGAUUACUGAUAUUGGUACUGUCAAAAUAAAUAUGUUUAAUGGUAUGGUUCGCACAAUUGAGAAGGUAAGACAUGUCAAAGACUUGAAAAAUAUCUCUUGUCUUUAGGACAAAUAGAUAGUCUUACGCGCAAAACUCAUGUAGAAAAUGGGAUCAUAAAGAUAGUCAAAGGCGCACUUGCAUUAAUGAAGGUGGAAAAGAUCGGUGAUAAUUUAUUCAUGCUUAAAGGGAAACACUACAGAAAGCUUUUGUGUCAGUCACAUCAAAUAGAGAAAAUUCAGUGAUGAUGUGGCAUCUUAAACUUGGCCACAUGUCAAAACAAGGAAGCAACAUAGAUGAAAGUUUAGCAGAUCCACUUUCAAAAGUAAAUGUAUUUUAGACUUGAUUCAUUCUAAUGUUUGGGAAUCAAUUGAUAUAUCUAUGGGAGGUGCAAAGUACUUGGUGACUUUUAUUAAUGAUUAUUCUAGGAGAUAUUUGGUGUAUCCAAUCAAGAAAAGGUCAAAUGUAUUUCCAUUGUUCAAAGAAUUCAAAGCGUAGAUUGAACUUAAAUCAGGGCAAGGGAUCAAGUGCCUGAGGACAGACAAUGGUGGAGAGUAUACAAAUAGCAUGUUUCUUGCAUAUGUAAGCAAGAAAGUAUCUAGAGAUAGUUCACGGUGGCAUACACUCCUCAAUAAAAUAGAGUAGUAGAGUGAAAGGGCAUGACUCUUAUAAAAAAAAAAAGAGUUAUGUUGAGAAAUGCUGGUCUACCAACUCAUUCUAGGUGGAAGUAGCAAAAACUACUUAUUAUGUGGUAAGUGGGUCAUCAUUCAAUGCAACCGGGUUGAAAAUUCCAAUGGAAAAAAUAGACAGGAAAGCCAGUUGAUUACUCUCAUCUCAGGCAUUUUGAUGUCCUUUUACGUGAUAUACAAUACCCAAGUGAGAUUAAAGAUGGAUCCAAAAUCCAAGAGAUGUAUCUUCUUAGGAUAUAUUGAUGGAGUGAAAGGGUAUUAUCUGUGGGACCUCAAUGCCCAUAAGAUCGUUAUCAGUAGAGAUAUUAUCUUUGUAGAAGAUCAAAUGCAAAAGAGAGAUAUGGAUGAUAGCACUAUAAAAAUUCAGAGAUUGUGCUAAUAUAUGUUGAAAAUAAUCUGGAAAAUGAAGAUUUAGAUUUUUUUGAAGCAGCACCAAAGUAUGAGAACAAGAACCAAUCGAGUCUGAGGCCCCAAAAGUUUGUUGGUCAACUCGUGAUAGAUAAUUGUCAGUGUGGCAUUUGGAUUAUGUCACAGAUAUCAAUUUUGCAUACUGUCUUUUAAUAGAGAAUGGAAAGCCAUCAACUUUUCAUGAAACCUUAAACAGCUCAGAUGUUACUUUGUGAAUGAUAGCAAUGCAGGAAGAAAUUAAGGCUCUACACAAGAAUAUGACAUAGGAACUCGUACUACUACUAUAUGAAAAAAAAAAGACCCAUUGGUUGGAAAUGGGUCCAUAAGAUCAAACGUGAUGGUAAUAACCUAGUGGAGCGGUAUCAUGAAAGAUUGGUGAUGGAAGAAUAUCCUUAGAAAGAAUGUAUUAACUUCAAUGAGAUAUUUUCUCCAGUGAUUUGACUCAGGACAGUCAGAGUGGUCUUGUCGAUGUGUGCUACAUUUGACCUAUAUUUGGAGCAGUUAGAUGUGAAAAUUUCAUUUCUUUAUGGAGAACUUGAAGAAAAGAUUUCUAUGCUCUAACUAGAAGGUUUUACUAAAAAGGGACACUUGGUUUGCAAGUUAAACAAAUCUCUAUACGAUCUCAAACAUGCACCGAGAUGUUGAUAUAAGAGAUUUGAUCCAUUCAUCAUAAACCUUGGAUACAAUAGAAUCAGUUCAGACUGUUGUACAUAUUACAACAAGUUUGAUAAUAAUAAUUUCAUCAUUCUACUGUGGUAUGUUGAUGACAUAUUAGUAGCAGGCCCCAACAAAGAUCGAGUCCAAGAACUAAAGCACAGUUAACUAGGGAGUUUGAAAUAAAAGACUUAGAACCAGCAAACAAGAUUUUAGGGAUGCAAAUUCACCGAGAUAGUAAUAGCAAAAAGAUUUGGCUUUCUACCCCGCCUCCCAUUAAUUUCAAGUUAUUCUUAAGUAUUCAUCUAGUAAUGAAGUAGAGAAGAAGAGAUGUCUUGAGUACUGUAUGCAUCAGCAGUGGAAAAUUUAAGGUUCGCUAUGAUUUGUACAAGUAGUGGGAGAGGUUAGUCGAUACAUAGCGAAUCCUUGCAAAGAACAUUGGAAGACUAUUAAGAGGAUUCUGAGAUAUAUCAUAGGAACAUCAGAUGUUGCAUUAUGUUACGAAGGAUACUGUCAAGGGCCAUGUGCAUUCAGAUUUUGCAGAAAAUCUUAAUAAAAAAAAAUCCACUACUGGCUAAGUAUUUGCACCAGAAUGAGAAAUUGUUAGUUGGAUUUCAAAAUUGCAGACCAUUGUGGCUUUAUCAACAACAGAAGCAGAUUACAUAGCAGCUACACAAGCUUGGAUGAGCUAUUUAGAUACAAAGGUUACUGAAGGAGCUUGGGCAUAAAAUUUUUUAUGGCUUGUGAUAGUUAGAAUGCAAGGAAUCCAACCUUUUAUUUUAGGACAAAGAAUAUAGGAGUACAAUAUCACUUCUUCGUGAAGUAGUGAAAGAUAUAAGAGUGGAUACCAAGGAGAACUUAACAAAUGUUUUGCCCAAGCCUAUCAAUGCUGAUAAAUUUGUUUGGAGUAGAUCAUUUUACGGCCUAGUAGAGACAUAAACAACAUGACAGCGGCGAAGUAGAAAGGAUGGUGUGGAGAUUGAUUGAUUCUCAAUCAAAUUUCUAAGUGGGAGAAUAUCAAAGUCAAUGUCGCUUUUCUAGAAGAGCGACCAAUACCUUUUGAUAUUCAAAGUUUGAAUGUCAAGUUCAAACUUUGAAUUUAAUAUAUAUAUAUAUAUAUAUAUAUAUAUAUAUAUAUAUAUAUAUAUAUAUAUAUAUAUAAAUAGUGCCCAAAAUUUUAACUAUAAAUGAGGGGUUCACCCCUGCAUUUCAUUCUUUUCUUCUUCAAUUCUAGUGUGAGAGACUAAGAGUUUUAAUGCUCUUGAGUGAUUAGUGUUUUAAGAGAUUGAGUGGAUUGGGGUUCUGGGAAGUGAAACAAAAUAUUAUAAUACUAGUAAUCCUCAUUUCACCACUAAAGUUUUAUCUUUUGUCUUUACCCAUAGACGUAGGUUAAAAGUCGAACCACGUAAUUUUUAGUGUCCUCUGUGUGCUUGCUCUUCAUUUUCUUCCAAUUUUAUUUUAGCUAUGGACCUACUUCACCAGUAAAUUGAAGACGUUGGAACUGCGUGAUUUAGAUAGCCUCACAAGUUUCUGCUCUACCAAUUACACCUUCAAAUUCCCAUCUUUGCAAGAGUUAUGUGUGAUUGGUUGUCCCAAGAUGAAGAUUUUCACUACAGGAGAAUCAAUCACGCCGAGUAAACGUCUGCUAUGGAGAGACAGCGGAUCAACGGCGCUGGGCUAAUAAUGAUCUAAACACAACCAUACAACAAUUACAUGCUGAGAAGGUACGUAUAUACAUAUUACUCUCUAUCUCCCAUGAUAAAUUUUUACAAAAUUUGCUUUCUUAAAUACAAUAUAGAUAAGAUAUUUGAUGAAUAAGAAUUUUAUUUUAAGCUGUUGGCGGUGUCGUCGUCAUACUCUACGCAGUAGUACGACUAAUGUCAUAGGCUUCUUAUGACCUGGAGUUGCGAAUUUUUAGAAGAAAGUCUCAACUGGUAAUUAAUUUUUAUUUCAUUUAUUUAAUCCCAUGGCUUGUUUCGCAAUUUCAUCUGAAUUAUUUAGAAUGGGUCCCUCGGUUUACUGUUAAAUUUGCAAUGCAAUUUUAAUGAUCCUUUCAGACUUUUAUGGACAGAUUUUGCAAAAUUGAAUGUCUUUUAGUCUAGUUUAAUUUGAGUUUUUCUUUUUUUUUUUAGAGCUCCCCAUGUUUUCUAAAAUUUUAUAAUUCCUUGCAUACUUUUUAGGAUAAAAUUUCAUUAAAAGCCUUCAUAUUUUAUAAUUCCUUGAAAACUUGCAUACUUUUUCCUUUUUUUUUCUUGCCAAUUAUUUAUUGUCAUCAUUGCUGUUCUUUUAUUUUAGUUUGUGCUCUGUUUGUUCAUUGGGUUUGCUUUUCGGAAAGUUAGAAGGCAAGGAAAGUACUUAGAAAAUGUUCUUCCCUAUGAACACAUAAUUAACAGCUGAAUAUCAUUCAUUGGAUUAAAAAAAAUUAAAAUAAAAAAAAGUAAUAAGCCCAUUAUUCCUAGAACAAAUCCUUAAACCAUCAAACGUUAGCUAUGAACAAGUAUAUUGGUCUAUAGCAUAUUCAUAAUAUUUUCUCUGCUGUUCCUGUUAAAAUUUCUCUACUCAAUGAUCGCAGAAUAUCUGGAUACUGAUGAAGAUUUAAGUCACUCUUCUUCUAUGAAUAAGGUCGUUUUUCUUUUUUCUUCUAUUCAAAGUUUCCAUUCUGAGCAGUUCCCAUUUCCAUCUUCGUGAUCUUCUUGUGAUAGUGUGAGUUACAACCUGUCUGUUUCCUUUGUUUGAUCAUUGCAAGUUCAAAGACAUUUUAUUCUAGCUAAGCUCUUUGUAUGUAUUAUAACAUUUUUAUUCUCAAUAUAUAUAUGACUCAAUGAGAGGUCUUUUAUUAUAUUUAUGUCGUGAAUUUCUAUUGUAUUGUGACAUUUGAUGGUGUAUCAUUGUCUCAUUGCAAGGUCUUGUAAUCACUCUGAUUCUCAUUUGAGGAGGUUGGUCUCGUCUAUGUGUAUGUAUUUAUAUCCACAAGAAAUUUGAUAAAUGGUCUUGUCAUUUUCUCAUCAAAACAUCUAGUGCUUCAUAUGUUGGAGGGCUACCAGGCAUCAGGGCCAGUUUUUUAAACUCAAAGUUCUUCCUGUCAUUUUUUAACAAUAAUAAGGAAAGCCCAAGAGAAAAUCUAGAAGUCCUAAUAAGGACCGCUUCUGCAUAUAUUGUUCAUUUUCUUAAUUACCUUCAUUAUUAUUUUCGUUUUCAAUCGAUCAAACUUCAGUUUCUUAGCAUUAAUCUAAUUAUGUACUUCAUCUUGAAAUCCUUAAAUUACCCAUCAAAAUGUGAACGAUUAGUGUAUCAUUUUUGCACUAUAAGAAAUAGUUGUAUUACCGACCAGACAUUUCCACAAUAUACUAUUGAAAAUAAGUACUUUUUACAAAGGUAUUGUCAUUGAUGAGCCGUUGGAUAAAUAUGAAAAGUAUCAUACCUCGGUGAUAAAGAAAAUUCGUUUGUCGGAAAUGGAAUGUCGAGCCCAAAAUUACUCUAAACUUGGUAAAGUUAGAUUUUGGCCCAAUUUGUUUGAAAGUUUUAUACAUAAAGCACUUUUUUUUUUAUGUAAUUUGUGCAAUCUGAAGGGAGGUAUUGUAAAAUUAACAUAAAUAAAUGUAAUAUGCCAAUACCGUUUAAAACAAAAAAGAUAUCAUGAAAUUGAAAAAAAAUAAAUAAUAAUAAUAAUAACAACAUUAAAAGAAAAAGGAAAUUACGGAGAAGAAUAAUCGCUUCUUGAUCUCAACUCUCAAUUUGAAUACAAUCUCUGAAUCUCACUUCUCGAUCUGUCUCCAUUCUUCAUUCGCAUUUACUCGGUGGUAAUUAAUUCUUCACUCUCACUCGCCUUAUUUCCUGCAGAUUUCUUCAUUUUCCUUCACUGUUCGUUUUUAAGGUUCCAUUGUAUUUCCAUUGAGUUUGCAACUGUUCAAUUGCUCGAUCCACAUUAGUUUUAAGGUACGAUUGUUGGUUAUUUUCCUAAUCAAUAGACAACCCUAGAUACGAUCAUAGGAUUUAAUCAAUUGACAGUCUGAAAAAUCAGAGAGACCCAAAUCCUAAUCAACAAACGCAUACGAUGAUUCAUUUAAAUUAGAUUGUUUAUUCUCAUAACACAAUGCACUGCUAUGCUAUUUGUCACAAACAUUAAAAUCUUCAUACGAUAAAUCUUUUAAUUGACAAUAGAUUAAGUUGAUAAUUAAAUAGUAGCCAAUUAUCUAAUUAACAAACAUAAUCAUGACAAUAAUUCAGAGAAUAAACAAAUACCCAAAAAGUAAUAAAAUAAUUAAAGUAUAAGAAAGAUCUCACAGCAGUGAUGAAUCAAAGUUUCAUUAACCUUCAACCAGAAUAAUAGAUUUAGUUUUUCAUAGACAGGAGAGAAAAAUUUAGAUCUAGGGUUUCUUUCUCUUCAAAAAUCUCCGUCUUUGACAAUAGAUUCCUCCCUUAAAUUCUCUUCUCUCUCUUCUCCUCUAGAGUUCUUUUUAAAAUAAAAUACUAAUUUCUAAAAUAUUAUCUAAAUAUUAAAUGCGUAAUUACAAAAAUAACUAAAAAUACAAAACACGUUAAACUAAAAACUGCAGGUCCGUAGUAGACAGCAUGCGCCCACACCUUAUCAACAAAGUUCUUCUGAAGCUCAUAAUUUCUUCAAGAAAACAAUCAUCCUCAAACAUCAUCUUGUAGCUCAAUUUUAGCACCAAUCAAUAAAAUUGCACCUACCAAAAUAAAACACAAGUAAAUCACUAUUAUUAAGUGCAAAACAUCGAUAUUAAAAGAAGUAAAUAAUGCAAAACUAGUGCAUAAAUUGUACUCUAACACUUCAUUCCGAUCCCUUGAUCAUUACUCAUUUAUUUAUUUAUUCUUUGCUUCACUUCUAAGCUUAGCAAAGGAACUUGAACUUUGGCUUUUCAAAUAGGUCACUUUUGCUUUUAAUCUCGCCCAUGAUCUUCAUCAUGAAGAUGACAAACCAUUAUUCUUUAUUCUUCACUUUUGCUUUUAAUCUCGCCCAUGAUCUUCAUCGUGAAGAUGACAAACCAUUAUUCUUUAUUCUUCACUUGUUGAAUUUACAGAAUAUAUAGCAUUCUUAAAAUUUUAGCAAAUCGUUAUUCUUCAGCUUCAGCACCUCAUUAAAAAGUCAUUCUUUGAACUUAUUCUCAAUCAAGAAAAACAUAUGCGUUCGUUCGUUGUAGUCACUGUUGUUUUGUUAUUAAUGUUUGCUCCCUAUUGCCGUUAACUCUCUUGAGCUUCACAGGAUCAGGAAACCCUUUUCUCUUGGCAUCUGUUUUGUUGUAAUCUCUCAGUCCUUGUUGAUUAGUUUCUCUCCGCUCCCAAUUUAGUUGUGUCCUGCUGUUGUCUCUGUUUUGUUCCAUAUCUACUCUCUGCACUUCUGCUGUGUCAAGACAUCUUCUUUUGUUCAUUCGGUUGUGGUCUAUAAUAUAUUUUUCAUCUUUCUUUUGGUCUAUACUUAAGUUAUUUUGAUUGGUUCCUUUCUCCUUUAUUAUCUAAAUCCCUCCUUAUAUUUAUUCAAUCAGUUGUUACGCUUUCUUUCAUUUCUCCGCUUCCACAACCAGAUAAACUGUCCAUCUUUGUUGUUUCUUCUUUUUUCUCUUCUGUGGUUGGCUCUUGUUUAUUUGCUUUUCAGAACUCAAAAAAAAAAAAAAAAUAGAAGGAUCAAAGAUGGUGGAAACCAUUAUUACUGUUGUUUUGGAAGUUGUGAAAUGCUUGGCUCCUCUAGCAGAACGCCAACUUGGUUAUUUACGUAACUAUAAAACCAACUUUGAGAAUCUCAGGGCAAAAUUUGAUGAACUCAAGGAUGAAAGUAGGAGCAUUCAGCACAGAGUUUCUGAGGCUGAAAGAAAAGGAGAAAAGAUUGAAGAGAAGGUUGAAAAGUGGCUGGUUAGUGCAAACGACAUCAUUGACAGCGCAGCCAAAUUCAUUGAAAAUGAGGAGUCAACGAAUAAGCGUUGUCUCAAGGGCUUGUGUCCUAAUUUGAAGACCCGCUAUCAGCUUAGCAAGAAAGCAGAGACAGAAAUGAAGGCCCUUGUUGAACUUGGAGAAGAAGUAAAGAAGUUUGAUAUUGUUUCCCACCGUACCAUUCCGGAGGAGAUUUGGCUCAAGUCUCACAUAGGCUACGAGGCCUUCGAAUCAAGACGUUCUACUUUGGAGGCUAUAAAAAAAGCAUUGAUCGAUGUUAGCAUCAUUGGGGUGUACGGCAUGGGCGGCAUUGGAAAGACGACACUGGUGAAGGAGGUCUCCAGGCAAGCUAUGGAAGCCAAGCUCUUUGAUAUGGUGGUCUUUUCAGAGGUUUCGCAAACUCCAGACAUAAAAAAGAUUCAACAGGAAAUUGCCGAGAAGUUGGGCCUGGAGUUGCGCGAGGAAGUUGAAUCUGGAAGAGCAAGUAGACUAUUUGAGCGAUUGAGAAAUGAGAAGAAGAUCCUUGUGGUUUUAGAUAACAUCUGGAAACACCUUAAUUUGGAGACUGUUGGAAUUCCUUUUGCAGAAGAUCAUAAAGGAUGCAAACUACUGCUGACAGCAAGAGAUCGUAGUGUCCUCUUACAAAUGGGAUCCAAAGACAACUUUUUGAUAAACAACUUAAAAGAAGAAGAAGCCGGGAGAUUGUUUAAGAUGAUGGCCGGUGAUGAUGUUGAAAAUCGUGAGUUGAAAUCUACAGCAAUAGACGUCGCCAGGGCAUGUGGAGGUUUGCCCAUUGCCUUGAGUACGGUAGCAAAGGCAUUGAGAGGCAAGAGUCUGCAUGAAUGGAAGAAUUCCUUGCGAGAACUCCGAACGCCUUCAAUGGUAAACUUCGAAGGAGUAUCUGCAGAGACUUAUGCAAGUAUUGAGCUGAGUUUCAACCAAUUAAAAGGUGAACGCAAGGAAAUUUUUCAGCUCUGCAGUCUAAUGGGUAACCGUAUUUUUACUUUCGACUUGUUUAAGUACUCCAUGGGUUUGGGUAUAUUUAAAGGAGUCAAUAAGAUGGAAGAUGCACGAGACAAAUUAUAUGCAUUGGUCCAUGAACUUAGAGACUCUUGUUUGUUGCUUGAGGGUGAGAGCAAUGAACAAUUGUCAAUGCAUGAUGUUGUUCGCGAUGUCGCGAUAUCAAUUGCAUGCCGCCAGCAACAUGUGUUUUCGGUGAGGAAUGAGGAUGUGUGGGACUGGCCAGAUAAGGAUGCACUUCGAAAUUGCAAAGCUAUCUCUUUAAUAAAAAAUAGUAAUCGUGAAUUUCCUGAAGGAUUAGAAUGCCCAAACCUUGAAUUUUUAUAUAUCUCUCUCAAAGAUUUUUCUCUUGAAAUCAAUAUUCCUGAGAACUUUUUUGUAGGGAUGAAAAAGCUUAGAGUUCUAGAUUUUACUCGAAUGCAGUUUUCUUCUUUUCCAUCUUCAAUUGAUCUUCUAGUAAAUCUUCACACACUAUGUCUGGAUAAAAGUGCGUUGGGCGACAUAGCAAUCAUUGGGAAGUUGAAGAAUCUAGAAGUCCUUAGCUUUUUGAAGUCUGAUAUAACGCAGUUGCCAGAAGAACUAGGUCAAUUGAAUAAGUUGAGAUUGUUAGAUUUAACCAAUUGUUUCCGUCUGAAAGUUAUUGCCCCAAAUGUCAUAUCAAGCUUAAUCCGAUUAGAAGAGCUGUAUAUGGGUAAUUGCUCCAUUGAAUGGGAGGUUGAAAGAGCCAACAGCAAAAGAAGUAAUGCUAGCCUUGAUGAAUUGAUGCAUUUACCUCGGCUAACCACUCUAGAAAUUGAUGUUAAAAAUGACAGUAUGUUACCAGAAGGUUUUUUGGCCAGAAAGCUCGAAAGGUUCAAAAUAUCUAUUGGAAAUGGGUUAUUCACACAUCCCAUGAUUGCUGAACAAAAUUGGUUCCAAAGUCUGCGGCGCUUUUCUCGCAAAAGUGAUCGCAAGAGUUUAAGAGCAUUGAAGCUCAAGCUUGCUUUUAUGGACAUUUGCUCCAUGAAAUUGCAGGGCAUCAAUAACGUAGAAUGCUUAUGGUUGGACAAGCUGCAAGGCAUCGAGAAUGUUCUUUUCAAUUUGGACACAGAGGGCUUUUCACAAUUGAAGCUUCUCUGGGUUCAAAAUAAUCCUGACAUCUUUUGUAUCGUCGAUUCAAGGGCGAUGGUCGCUUGUGAUGCCUUUCCUCUUUUGGAGUCACUUGGCCUUCACAAUUUGAUCAACAUGGAGAGGAUAUGUAUUGAUCGGCUCAAAGUAGAGUCCUUCAACGAACUCAAAAUCAUACAAGCAUAUAAUUGUGAUAAAUUGAGUAAUAUCUUUUGGCUCUCUACAACAAAAUGCCUUCCAAGACUUGAGAGAAUUGCAGUUAUUAAUUGCAGCAAGAUGAAAGAGAUUUUUGCAAUUGGGGAAGAAGUUGAUAAUGCAAUUGAGAAGAUAGAGUUUGCUCAAUUAAGAUCUUUGAGUCUGGGGAAUCUUCCAGAGUUUACAAGUUUUUGCCGUGAGGUGAAGACUCCUUCAGCAUCACCAAACAGACCAGCGUCGCAGGAGGAAUCGACGACUACGUAUAGCUCCAGCGAAAUCACUUUGGAUACUUCAACUCUGCUUUUCAACGAGAAGGUGCGUAGGCUAACAUUUUCUUUAUUCUAUCAUGCGUUCUGUUUUGAUGUCAUACGUGGAAAAUAAUUAAAUCAUUUAAAGAAUUGAAAGAAAAUGGAAAAAAGGAUAAAAAGAAUCUCACGCGCUCACUAAUUGAGCUCUUAACAAGUAGUAUGAAUUAGAAUGCAUACUCAGCUGUCAGUUGGAAAUUGAUUCAGACUUGCAUUAAUUUGUAAUCAAAGAAGAAAAUUUCAACAAGUGCUUCCCAUAUGGAUAUUGGAUCUAACGAGAAAUUCUUCUUUUUUUAGGUUGCGUUGCCUAACUUGGAGGCUUUGGAGAUAUCUGCAAUUAAUGUCGACAAGAUUUGGCACUACAAUCAAAUUCCAGCGGCCGUGCUUCCUCACUUUCAAAGUUUAACACGAUUGAUUGUGUGGGGUUGUCACAAAUUAAAAUACAUAUUUUCAGCGUCUAUGAUCGGAAGCCUUAAGCAGCUCCGACACCUAGAUAUACGCUUCUGUGAGGAUUUAGAGGAGAUCAUUUCUGAAAACAGAGCAGAUGAAGUUAUCCCUUAUUUUGUCUUUCCACAGCUCACCACUCUAAGACUCGAAUGUCUACCAAAACUUAGAUGUUUGUACCCUGGAAUGCAUACUUCGGAAUGGCCCGCACUAGAAAUUCUUUUAGUGGGUCGUUGUGACAAAUUAAAGAUAUUCGAUGCAGAUUUAUCGCAGAAUAAUGAGAAUGAUCAACUUGGUAUUCCUGCACAACAGCCCCUAUUGCCGUUGGAAAAGGUACGAAGCCAUUUUCUAGAUUUUUUAUCAAUAGCGUAUUUUUAACUUCGAAAAAAAUGACAAAGCAUCGAUAAAUUAACACUCAAUAAAUUGAAAACUUUUAUUAUACAAUAAUCUUUGCUAGUCUAGAUUAAGAGAUCAAUGUGGUAGAUUAAUAAUUAUAUGAACUUUUUAAGGUAUAGCAUUUAUAAAAGAAUCCUUAGUCUUUCCAUAUAGAAGAACUUACAAAAUAAAUUAGUAAUUUAUUAUUGUGCAAUAAAAUAAUUUCAAACCAGUAUAAAUCAACCUUUUUUCCCUAAUUUCUUUUUUACCUCUAAAAUUAACAUAUAAAAUAAAUUUUAUCAAUAAUUCAUUUUUUUUUUAAAAUAUAAUAUAAAACAAAUACUAUAAAGUCACUGCGUGUGACCGUAGAUCAUCAAUUGACCUCAUUAGUUAUUAUGAUUGAUGAUGAUCAGAUCGUACCCAACUUGAAGGAACUAUCACUAAGUGGAAAAGAUGUGAAGAUGAUUUUGCAGGCCGAUUUCCCACAACACCUUUUUGGCAGUCUUAGAGAACUAGAGAUUGCUGCAGAUGACUCAGCUGGUUUUACAAUCUGGAACGUACUGGAGAGAUUUCACAAUCUCGAAAUACUCACACUGUUGUUUUUUUCAUCCCACGAAGAGCUAUUUUCGAUGGAAGGAUGCUUACAGAAACAUGUGGGGAAGUUGGCAAUGAUAAAAGAAUUACAGCUGCGCUGGCACUAUCAUCUGGAGCAGCUGUGCAAGCAAGACUCCAAACUUGGCCCCAUUUUUCAGUAUCUUGAAAUUCUAAAAGUAUAUCAUUGUCAAAGUCUGUUAAUUCUAUUGCCAUCAUCAUCGGUAUCUUUUGGGAACCUAACAAAACUUGUAGCUUUCGGUUGCAAGGAAUUGAUACACUUGGUAACAUCCUCCACAGCAAAAACUCUGGUGCGACUCAUAGCAAUAGAAAUAUAUGGAUGCAGAGCAAUGACAGAGGUGGUAAUAAAUGACAAAGAUGGAGUUGAAAAAGAAGAGAUUGUUUUUAGCAAAUUGAAGACGUUGGGACUGUUUGAUUUAGAUAGCCUCACAAGUUUCUGUUCUGCCAAUUACACCUUCAAAUUCCCAUCUUUGGAAUAUCUGGAUGUGAUUGGUUGUCCCAAGAUGAAGAUUUUCACUACAGGAGAAUCAAUCACGCCUCUAAGAGUAAACGUCUGCUAUGGAGAGACAGCGGAUCAACGGCGCUGGGCUAAUAAUGAUCUAAACACAAACAUACAACAAUUACAUGCUGAGAAGGUACGUAUAUACAUAUUACUCUCUAUCUCCCAUGAUAAAUUUUUACAAAAUUUGCUUUCUUAAAUACAAUAUAGAUAAGAUAUUUGUUAUAAAGUAAGUUUAAAUUGAUGAAUAAGAAUUUUACUUUCAGCUGUUGGCGGUGUCGUCGUCAUACUCUACGCAGUACGACUAAUUUCAUAGGCUUCUUAUGACUUGGAGUUGCGAAUUUUUAGAAGAAAGUCUCAACUGGUAAUUAAUUUUUAUUUCAUUUAUUUAAUCCCAUGUCUUGUUUCACAAUUUCAUCUGAAUUAUUUAGAAUGGGUCCCUCGGUUUACUGUUAAAUUUGCAAUGCAAUUUUAAUGAUCCUUUCAGACAUUUAUGGACAGAUUUUGCAAAAUUGAAUGUCUUUUAGUCUAGUUUAAUUUGAGUUUUUCAUUUUUUUUUUAGAGCUCCCCUUGUUUUCUAAAAUUUUAUAAUUCCUUGCAUACUUUUUAUGAUAAAGUUUCAUUAAAAGCCUUCAUAUUUUAUAAUUCCUUGAAAACGUGCAUACUUUUUCCUUUUUUUCUUUGCCAAUUAUUUAUUGUCAUCAUUGCUGUUCUUUUAUUUUAGUUUGUGCUCUAUUUGUUCAUUGGGUUUGCUUUUCGGAAAGUUAGAAGGCAAGGAAAGUACUUAGAAAAUAUUCUUCCCUAUGAACACAUAAUUAACAGCUGAAUAUCAUUCAUUGGAUUAAAAAAAAUUUAAAAUAAAAAGAAAGUAAUCAGCCCAUUAUUCCUAGAACAAAUCCUUAAACCAUCAAACGUUAGCUAUGAACAAGUAUAUUGGUCUAUAGCAUAUUCAUAAUAUUUUCUCUGCUGUUCCUGUUAAAAUUUCUCUACUCUAUGAUUGCAAAAUGUCUGGAUACUGAUGAAGAUUUAAGUCACUCUUCUUCUGUGAAUAAGGUCGUUUUUCUUUUUUCCUCUAUUCAAAGUUUCCAUUCUGAUGGGUUCCCAUUUCCAUCUUCGUGAUCUUCUUGUGAUAGUGUGAGUUACAACCUGUCUGUUUCCUUUGUUUGAUCAUCACAAGUUCAAAGACAUUUUAUUCUAGCUAAGCUCUGUGUAUGUAUUAUAACAUUUUUAUUCUCAAUAUAUAUGACUCAAUGAGAGGUCUUUUAUUAUAUAUAUGUCGUGAAUUUCUAUUGUAUUUUGACAUUUGAUGGUGUAUCAUUGUCUCAUUGCAAGGUCUUUUAAUCACUCUGAUUCUCAUUUGAGGAGGUUGGUCUCGUCUAUGUGUAUGUAUUUAUAUCCACAAGAAAUUUGAUAAAUGGUCUUGUCAUUUUCUCAUCAAAACAUCUGGUGCUUCAUAUGUUGGAGGGUUACCAGGCAUCAGGGCCAGAUUUUUAAACUCAAAGUUCUUCGUGUCAUUUUUUAACAAUAAUAAGGAAAGCCCAAGAGAAAAUCUAGAAGUCCUAAUAAGGACCGCUUCUACAUAUAUUGUUCAUUUUCUUAAUUACCUUCAUUAUUAUUUUCGUUUUCAAUCGAUCAAACUUCAGUUUCUUCAUCUUGAAAUCCUUAAUUUACUCAUCAAAAUGUGAACGCUUAGUGUAUCAUUUUUACACUAUAAGAAAUAGUCGUAUUACCGACCAGACAUUUCCACAAUAUACUAUUCAAAAUAAGUACUUUUUACGAAGGUAUUGUCAUUGACGAGCCGUUGGAUAAAUAUGAAAAGUAUCAUUCCUUGGUGAUAAAGAAAAUUCGUUUGUCGGAAAUGGAAUGUCGAGCCCAAAAUUACUCUAAACUUGGUAAAGUUAGAUUUUGGCCCAAUUUGUUUGAAAGUUUUAUACAUAAAGCACUUUUUUUUUUUUAUGUAAUUUGUGCAAUCUGAAGGGAGGUAUUGUAAAAUUAACAUAAAUAAAUGUAAUAUGCCAAUACCGUUUAAAACAAAAAAGAAAUCAUGAAAUUGAAAAUAUAUAUAUAAUAAUAAUAAUAACAACAUUAAAAGAAAAAAGGGGAUUACGGAGAAGAAGAAUCUCUUCUGGAUCACAACUCUCAAUUUCACUCAGUGGUAAUUAAUUCUUCACUCUCACUCGCCUUAUUUCCUGCGGAUUUCUUCAUUUUCCUUCACUGUUCAUUUUUAAGGUUCCAUUGUAUUUCCAUUGAGUUUGCAACUGUUCAAUUGAUCGAUCCUUAUUAGUUUUGGGACUUCAAUGACCAUAGAAGAAGAUUCUCACAGACAACUCUUCCUUCUUUUGUCUUUGUUUUUUUUUUUAUUUGUUUAUGCAUGUUUCCUUUGCUGAUUUAUUUACUUAUUUCUUUCUCUGAUGUCCCAAUUUAUCCUAUGAUAUUUCAAUUGAUGUAUUACGUUCAUGUUAUGUUUAUGGAUGCUUGCUCUACUGUCCUAAUUUACAAUUAAAUUUUACUCCGUCCUUAGCUAUCGAUUCACAGUGGUGUGUCAUUAAUAUGUACUUGUCUUAUUUUAUAUUUCAUUAACUAUUAUUUCAACAAUUGCUGCAGGUGUCAAAUAAUGAAUUUGUAUGAGCUUCAGUCCAAGGUAAUUAUCUUUUUCAUUUCAUGUUAUUUGAUCUCUAGGUUUAUUUUAUCGUUUCAUCUAAAUUAUUUGGAAUGCAUCAGCUGGUUUAUUCUUAAUUUUGGAACGAAUUUGAUGCAGCAGAUGGUUGCGAAGGAUGAGUGGAGUAUCUCUCUAGGGUAACAACUUGAGCUAUAAGUAUCUAUUUAGGGUGCAUAAUAUACAUUUCGAAGUUCGCGACGAGGGGAAUCUAAUCUAAUACUGUAGCGCCGCAUUAGUCUCGUGGUUCGAUUGAAAAUUAUAUUUAUUUCAUAUUAUUUUACAAGUUUAAGAUCUAUUUUCCUAUUGUUUUCGGGAUUUUUAUCUUUUUUUUUUUUCUAGAUAUAGAAUUUGAGUAACAUUUAUCUUAUUUCAGUUAGGAGAAUGUUAUUAUGUAGUAAUAUGUAGGUUUACUUAUUUUGGUAAAUUUGUGAUAUUUAAGUUUAGUUUAAAAGAAGUCCAAAACCUUAAUUUUGUUAUUCAGACUUUCAUUAAUAAAAUAUAAAACUUUCUAAAAAAGAAAAUGCUCGUCUGGUACCUAUAUUUUAACUUCAAUGCUCGUUUAGUUUUUAUAUUUUAAAAAAUACCUCAAUAUACCUUGAUAUUAAAUACGUUACAUUUUUCCUUAAAUUUUAUUUACUUUUACAAUAAUAUCUUGGCAAUAAUAUUCUUAAAUUAAUUAAUUUAUUUAUAAAAAAGUUAAUUGGAAAAUUAAUCAAGAAAUAUCAAUAUGAAAUAACCAGUAUUUUUUGUACUUUUACAACAAUCUUGCCAAUAAUUCUUUAUAAAUAAAUUAAUAGCAGCCAUCUUAAAGUAAUGUUUAAUAUUCUUAAAGCAAUCUUACUAAUAAAUGCAUAAAAAAUUUAAUUUACGAAAUUAGUCCUAAAACUAAAAUAAUAACAUAAAAGUUUUUAUUAAUAUUUAUUUUGUUUAAGGCUGGCUAGAUGAAUUACCAUUUUUUUCUUUUCAUUGAUAUUCCCAAAAAUAUUAUUCCAACACAGUAGGGGUGUCUUGAGGUUAGGGAUGGCAAUGGGGAGGGGAGGGGAGGGGACUAAUCUCCCCGUACCCAUCCCCGAUAUUUUGCGUAUGUCCUCGUCCCCUCCCCGUCCCCGUCCCCGUCAGAAUUACUUGAGAGAAUCUUCAUCCCCUCCCCGAAUAAUAACAGAGGAUCCCCGAUCCCCGAAUAACUAAUACAUUUUUUUUUUUCAAUUUUGAGUUAAUUAUAUUAAAAUAAAAAAAUUCAAAUAAAAGUAAAUUUCGAAAUAUAUCUUACAUGAAUAUCUAUUUCAAAAGUCACAUACAUUAAAUUAGUAAGUAACGCAGCAUGCAAGGGAUACAAACUAUCAUGAACAAAUUAAUAGUCUAAUACAAAAUUGUUACAAAUAAAAUCGAAUUUAGAUUCAAAAUUAACUUUUUCAAUGGUGGCGUGGGCACUUUAUAAAUGUGGACUAUUCCCUUUACAGCACAAUAGUUAAGUCCGAGCAAAUCAAGAGCAAAUAUUAGAUUAGAUUAGAUAUUAAAAUUGUGAUUCGCUGUGGGCAAUUAUAACAUCUAAAAAUAAAUAAAUAAAUAGAUUUAAGUUUAAAAUAUUUAAUGAAUAUUAAAAUUAAAACAAAAUUUUUGGGCUAAUAGAAUCUACUGGUCUUUUUAAUGUCCUAAAUAAAAAUUUAAGACUUUAAUUUGUUAAUUAGGCCUAAAAGUUUAAUAAUAUAAAUAUUUUGAUAUUUGUUAUUUUUACCAAUAUUUAUAAUUUUAUAAUUUAUUUACUAGUAAUUUUAAAAAAUAAAAAUAAAAUUAAAAAUUAAAAUGGGGAAAUGGGUAGGGUAUGGGGAUUCCACCUCAUCGCCGUCCCCUCCCUAAAUAAGAAAUUGGGUAAAAAAAUUUGCCCGUCCCUUCCCCGAAUAAGAAAUUGGGUAUGAAAUUAUCCUCAUACCCUCCCCGAAUAGGGAAAAUCCCCGAUGGUACCCGUCCCCGUGGGGAUUUUUGCCAUCCCUACUUGAGGUUGAGGCACUUUUUAAAAUAUAAGAACUAAAUGCGCUCUCAAGUCAAAAUAUAGAGACUAAAUGAACAUUUAUUCCUUUUAAAAAGCUUGUGUUUCUCUAUCUUUUCAAUCUCAAUGUUUUUGUUUCCGUUUCAUCAUAAGUUCUAAUGUUUGGUUCUCAUCUUAAUGUGCAAAUUUUACAUCAUUGAAGGUCUUUUGAUCUGAGUUAAGAUCAUAAAAUUAUACUUGCAUUGGUCAGGUUAUACGAAAAUUGUACAAAAUAAUAUUCUUAUAUAACUGUUGUCCUCUGUUAUUACGGAAUCCCCAAGUUCUGAAGAAGGUCGAAAUCAGGUCUCUCUACUGUGAAGCCCCUGGAAUAAGAGCUACAAAUGUGUUACCGUUGAAAGCAUGGCAGAAAACUUAGUACUUAAUUCAGACUCUUUGUGGCUUCAAUAUUUUACUUAACAUGAAAAAUUCUUUCUAGCUUGCAUCAUUGUAAAGAUAAAUUGUCGCAGUUCUGACAAUGAACAAGUAUAAAUGUCCACAGAGAAAAGUACUGAACAAUUAAUGUUAACAGCAAUCGAUUGGUGUGAGCGCCAACCACCAUUUUCAUAUUUAAGCCUUUAGAACAGCAAAACAAAAUACGGCAAGUGGCAACCACAUCAAAUAAUCAAAUUGUUGAUAGAUUUUGAAAGCUUUAAUUUGCUUGAUAUAUAUUUAAAUAUUUCAACAGAUGAUCUUUUCGCUACUCACGGGGCACGCUGAGUUAGAAACGGUUUGGAUGUCAAUAUUACUCCAAGUGCCUCAACCAAAUUCAGAAUGAAAAAAAACCAUCUGGUUACCUGCACUUUUGUUUAAGCAGCUAAUGAAGCUAAUUAGCACGAAAUAGUACACAAACUCGCGAGAAAUUUCAUUAGUAGAUCAUCAUCCUGGGAGGAAACCAGCAUCUUGACGCUUUUGUGAUCAAGAAAAUCUGCCAGAACCCCAAUUAAUGAAAAAGAAAUUAUAACAUCAUUUACGUAUAGUUUUACAAAAUCAACAGGACACUCACAGAGCACCUCCUACAGCUGGACCGGCAGUUUUGGUAAGCGACACUACAGUCAUAGCAAGUCCAUUAGCAGCUCCUCUUUGAUGCUGUUCCUUUUGUUGUGGCAUAAACCAACAAAUUAAAUUUAAACUUUGACACAUACAAAAUUUGAAAAAGCUGAAAGCAUGUAAAUGUACUAAACAAACAAAAGAAAAAAAAUAUUUACCACUGCUCUGUUUUGCAGAAGGAAUAAUCUAGUUAUUAUAGACACCUGAUAUUAUAAUUCAGGAAUAGUAAAAUAGAAUUACAACAUUUCUAAUAAAAAAAGACACAAAAUAAUUUUAUACAUACUUGAUGGAUAAUAUAACCUAAGUAUAUGGAUCAAUGAUUAGGAUAUCCACUUACAGCUAAAACAUUCUUCAUCACAGAAGCACAGUUUAUCAAAAAGGCAAGGCUGAACCCAGAUAGCAUUGCUAUGUAAGUGUAACUUGUCAAAAGCGGUAUCGAUAAAACCUGUACAUACAUAGAAAAUUAUGGGACCAAAACCAUGAAGAAAAGUAUUUUAUAAACAAAUAUGUUUGAAACAAACUAUCAAAUGGUCUAAAUGCCACAUGGUGUGUUCAAAAUUAUUGUUCUGUUUUAGUGACAAAACACUCAUCCCAUGACAUUGAGCUAUCAAUUCUCAUGGAUUCGUCACGCUUGAAAGGUUUGGUAGUUGUUCUGUUUUAUCUUCAGUUUCAUUUGUGAUCACAGAAACGUUAGGACUUGCGUGCAUGAAAGCACAUUAAAAUUUGAAAGUUCUGAAGAAGAUUCAGGUCACUCGCGUGCAGCCUCUGGAAUAAGAGCUGUGUUACUGUUUAAAAGUUUUCAUGCUGUGGGGCUUCCAUCUUCAUUAUUCUACGAAUGCUUAACUUCACUAUUCUACGAAUGCUUCACUUCACUACAUUGACAGCGUUGAAAGUGUAACUAAAACCCUUGCUUUCACAAGCAAGCAUCGGUGAAUGAAAAAGAAAGUCUCUCUCGAAGGUAAUUGACAGAGGAGCAAUCUUCUUACUCUUUAACUAAAUAUCAGAAAUACAAGGUUAAGGCAGCUAGGGUUGCGAAGGAGAAGGAUCGUUCCCGGAUUUUGCCUGCUUCAAGUUGUUGGGCUUGGUGAACCAAGUUGUGUACACGAAUUGCUUAUGAGGGCCCACAUGGUUGCAGACAAGCCUGAGCUUUUGUCUCUCCCUCAUGUCUCACAUUUUAUGAUGAAUCAAAUUGAACUCCCAACACGGUAGUUCAUAAAAUAUGCUUUUCUUCUUCCAAGUAAUCUUAUCAUUUCUCUCAUUUUAUUCAUUCUCCACUUUUCAAGUCUUCAAUCUUAAACUCAGUAAGGAUAUUAUUCAACUGCUUUUUCACUUCAGCUCCAGACAUCCGAGAAGGUGCUUGUCCCCACUCUCUAGAUUUAUCAAAAGGCACUAUAUUUUCGAAACCUAUGAUUCGUCAGUAAAAAUCGACGUUACCGACGUGACAAAAUUUUCUACUAUGUAUCAACCAAUUAGAUCUAGUGUUUUGUUGGCAAACAAGAAAUGCUUAUUUACCUUUAAUACUCCACUCAGACAAGUUGGCAUGUGCUAGAAAGUCACUGAUAGUCCAUAACAAUGCUGUGUGUGAAUUGAAUAUUUGAUUACGUGAUGUAUCAUGUAUCAUUCCAACCAUAUCAUCAUCAGCACCCGAGUCAUGACUAACCUGUUUCUUGGUUAGAUUCCAAAGAUGAAGAUGGCUCACCAUGCAAUAUCCAGUUUUAAUACUUUAACCAAAAACCAUUUAUAAUGAUAUGGUCUCUUGCUACUUCCCUUAAAACGAAAUAUUCGACACUUCUUACAAGGAUAAUAAAUUCUUGCAUCACCAACAACAUUCUCAAAUGCAAAAUCUAUAACUUAGAUAUCUAUUUGCCAAACCAACCCAACUCUUCUCCAUUACCAUCUCCUUUUAAUGCACUACAAAAAUUAGUUAGAUAAAUCAUUUUAGUUUUUCAUUUCUACUACUGACCAAGAUAUUUUCGUGUGUGCACAGUUUUGCAAUAUAAUUAAAAAAUCAUUAUACAAUUUUAUGGUUAAUUUCAUUAGAAUUUAUAUAUAUGAAAGCAAGUAAAGCGACAAGAAUCAGAGAAAAAGACGUGAAAAUUAAAGUAUAUAUACAACAAUAAUUAAUGUAAAAAACAGUUUCCAAUACCUUCUGUAAAGAAAUAUCCUCACCCACAGCUGAGAACUUCAGUUGGUUAUCAAUUACAGAUACAAAGCAUGUUACCUAGAAACAAAAAAAAAGGUCAGCCAGCUGAAACAUAUUUAUAAACCAACAUUGGAGAUAGUACUCCAUUUAUAAACAAAAUUACAAGCUCAAAACCAAGUUAACUCAGCAAAACUAUAACCGAUUACGUCCAUCCAACUCAGCUCCUCCACUCCCAUCAAUAUGUCCAACACUCCCUUCAUAUUUACAAAAGGUAAGUGGUCCCGUAUAUCCCUCUCAAGAAUGCAUAAGUUUCUUCAAUCUCAAGUACUUUAAAGUUUUCUUCUACGUUUAUAGAAAUUUCGGCAGCAUCUCCCUUUAGUUCUCCAAGCAACGACAUAGAUAUAUGAGUGUUUAUGUGUUAUCUAGUAUGCACCCAAAGAAGAUGAGAAGCAGCUUGCGAAAAACUCAUUUUUACGUGGGAAAAAAACUUCAGCUACUAGCUACCAUAGAAAACUAUGCAUUCCCAAACAGUUCAAGCCUAGACAAUUCAAGAAUUAUUAAUAGGCAUAUGAUCCUCACUAUCAUCCAAAGAUGACACUAAUAAAACAUGUGUCUAUUAAUAAUUUCUUAAACGAUCUAAGCUUUCAAUGCAUGUAUUGAAAGUUUAAAAUUCAAUCUGAAAUUUGAAUAACACAUAAAUAUCAUAAAUCUCUUCAAUUUGUUCCUAAUACAAUGUAGCAUUAUUACGCGCAUCAUUUCUUAAGCAAAUCCAUAAAAAAUACAAACAAUAAAUACAUUUUCUAGCACUGAUGCAGAUUAUGUUUACUAAGCAAUAAGUUUUAAGUCAUUCAUGUUAAAAUACUUUUUCCUAUUCUUUCAACAUAUAACUAGUACGUGCACACAAUUAAUAAAUUAAAUAUAACCUGGUUGUGAAUCUCGCAAAAAUCUUCCUAUUUUUUUUUUUUUGGUUGGGGGGGGGGGGGGGGGGUGUGAGCUGCUUGUGAAUCUUGCAAAUCCUCGGGAAGGCAUGUUAAGUCAAGGCCAACUUACUAUUAGGGUAUGAAAGAUAUAACCUUUUUUUUCCCUUUUCAGAGUAAAAAGAACAUUGACAGUGUUAAAAAAAUCUAGAGGAUUUCAGGCCCAUAUCCUAACAAAUCAAGGAUAUUAGAAAAAUUUACUGAGGAUAUAGUUUAUGCUCAAUUGUAUCUUGCAGGAAGAAAUUGAUAAGCCUCAGUUUCAAUUAGCUUCAUUAUAGCCAAUGAUUAGGUGUUUAAAAACCAAUGAAUAUUUUUAUAAGAAAUCAACCGUAUUGUCGGAAGAAAAACCAAAUAAAAAUAACAAAGCCAAUGAACAGACUAAUGCUCUUUAUGGUCUAAUAACUAAAAACCAAUGAGUAUUUUUAUAAGAAAUCAACAGUAUUGUUGGAAGAAAAACCAAAUAAAAAUAACAAAGCCAAUGAACAGAUUAACGCUCUUUAUGGUCUAAUAACUAAUCAAACUAAGUUGUGGGUAAAGGCGAAUAUGUUUGUUUGGUCAAUAAUAAGCUCAACGAAUCACUAAUAAGCACCUAAUCACUAUUCCUUAUGCUAUGCAAUGUAAUGGCCUGGGUAAUGGCAGCAAGGCAGGCAAGAACUAGCUAGCCAGUUAUGAUAGUUGAUUAAGAAACUUGAUUAUAUGUAUAUUUUUGUUUGCCACAUUUAAAGAGAAUUUUCCAAAGAUGCUAAGAUACACCAAAUCCCACUAUUUCCAUACUCAUAAAAACAAAAAGCCAUGGCAAAAAUGAAUGACUAUAUAAAAUAAAAUAGGUCAUAGGACAUUGAGAUUAAGGCAACAUGAUUUGUAUACCAUAAAAUAACUAUAUCUGCAUAGUCAAUUAUAUUUCUGUUAGAACUCUAAAGUUUUCAUUUAAAUUUUUUUCCCUGUUAUGUAAACCAUUUAACUGAAAUGCUUAAGCCAAUAUUAACAAUCAUAGACAUACAAGUAUUAAUAGGCUCGUUCAAGUGAAAUGAGCAUUAUUUCUCAUAUCCUUUAGGUUUUUAAGUCAUUUAGAAGUCAUUCAUGUUAAAAAAUUUCUUCAUAUACUUUCAUUAUAAUUAGUACAUAGACAAUUAUUUAAAUAAAUAAAUCUGUUUCUGCUAGUACAGGAAAUUAAUUAAUCAAAGCUAGUAGUUAUAGCUAGGACUUGAAUGAGGCACCUUUCAGAGUUCAAGAGGAGCAUCUGAACAGAACCUUUAUAGAAAUGGCAAUGACGCUUUACAUCUACAUGCUCUUACACAAUAUGGACUUUCAUUUAUUCAAGAACAUAACACUACUCCAAGCUCUUAUUCUACAAGUUAAUUCAGUUUAUAUUAUAAUUUCUGAAAAUAGAACGUAACAUUAUUAAUAUAGAAUCAGCAAUAUAUAUAACUUAUCAGACAAUAUAACAUGCACUUGGUGAGCAUACAAGAUAAACAAGUUAUCUAGAAAAUGAAACUAAAACCCAAGCUCCGCUAUUCAUUGUAGAAGCUUUAAACAUAAAAUUAAAGUAAAUCUAAUAGCAAAACAUUAGAAUGGAUGUUGGAAUUAAAGCUAAAUUCAAUAGUAAUUCAAAUGAAUCCAUUUGAACUUUGUAGAACAAAAUUAAUUUGAGUGAGCAAACACACCAAUGGAACAAGAACACAGGGCUUCAACUUGUAGGAAUAAAAACAAUUGCUGGCGAGACAAAAAUUGACAAUAACGACUACAAUACGAAUUAAAAAGAAUCAAAAUCUAUAAUUACAAGCUAAGUAAGAGAAGAAACUCAUAAUCACAAGCUUAACUCAAAAGAUGAAGGGAGAAUACGAUGAAGAAGAAGAUGCCCGGUGUUUUACGCCGUUCGCCGGCAACCAGUUAGGUUUACGAUGGAGUCCAGCGAAUAGUUUUCUAACUGGAAAUAAAUUUAAAAUUCUAAAAUAGUAGUAUACCGAACGGCUCUUUACCGUCACGUGGUUAGUAACAUAUGUGACAGCAGUGUGGCUGUCACAUAAAGGGUAACAAAAGCAACUCGGGGUUACAAAGAAGUUAGUGAUAUACGUAAUGGCUGCUUUUGCAUUCGCAUUAGGGGUCACAUAUACCAUAUUUUCUUGUAGUACAUGGUAAAUUCUAUUUGAAAAUUGCUAAGUAUUUUAGAUUUGUAUGAAUUCAUUUUUGUGUGCUCGUUGGAUAAUAAUAUAUAAUAAAUCAAAUUUUUGGUGUAAUUUUCACAAUAUUGUAUUAUAAAUAUGUCUCGUUGAAAGGUUUUGAAAUCGUUUUGAUUGAUCAUAAUUGAUAUUUCCACAUUUGCAAAAGAUGCCAGAGAAAAUCUGAUUAUCUUAAGAAAUGAGUGCAUGAGAUAUGAAAUCAACCAUAUAAUAAAAUCAAAUUUUAUUGUGUCAUCCUUCUUGGUUCAAAUUUAUGGAAACAAUAAUCAAAUGCAUCCAUGAACUAGCUAGUAUAUUCCGACACAUGUACCAUCAAAUUUUUGCUAUGUCAUACUUAUAUUUUGAAAUUUUAAUAACAACAAUUGGGCCAAGCAUAUGUUGGUACUUGAAGAUUUAUAAGCUCCAUCCUUGAAAAAAUAAGGCUUGACUGUCCUCAAUCUAAUUCUUUUUGUUUUAAGUUCCUAAUUAAGCUUUCUUGCUUGUUUUCAAGAGCCAGUUUUGUAAUGAUCGACAAACAUGAUUUGCAUAUAUUGCACUUGGUAUUUAUGUGUCACUUAUUAAUUAGAUUUAAAUUUUAUAAAUUAAUUAAGCUGAUUAAUACUUUAUGUUGAUGCAGAAAUCUAGUUGAGUUGGUUGUUGACUCAAAACCACAUCCCCGCAUCAGUAAUAAAUUUGUUUGGUGAAGAAGCGGCUUAUUAAUCUUCAAGAAAAUCCUCUAACCAUGAGCAGAUAAUUCAUGAGCCGAUAAUCUAUGAGCUGUUGAUUAGUGAGCACCAUGAGCAGAUAAUCCACGAGCUGCUGAUCAGUGAGCACCGUGAGCAGAUGUUCUAUGAGCAGAUGAUCCAUGAGCAGAUAACCCGCGAGCAUGCAAGCACAAAGAACAGUCAGGGGGCGCUAGAAGUUUUUCUGGUGAAAACCCUCCGACGCUCAAGUCACAAUAUUGUAUCCAACCAAUAAAAACUAAAAGAUCCAAAAGUUACAAGUUCUAACACCACCCAAAUAAAGGCAUGUUAGGAUUGUUUUUGGGAAGCUCAAAAGUGAUUUUAAAAACUAAAAGCUAAUUUUUAAUGUUUUAUAAAUUUAAAAACUAAAAGUUCUAACACCACCCAAAUAAAGGCAUGUUAGGAUUGUUUUUGGGAAUCUCAAAAGUGAUUUUAAAUAUUAAUGGUGCGUUUACUUCUUGGAAUAGGAAUGAGGUGGAAUGGGAAUGGACUGGAAAGGAAAUGAGGAAUGGGAAUGAGAUUUCAAUGUUUACUUGGCAAAAAUAAAUGGGAAUGGGAAUGUGCUGGAAUGCAAUUGAUGUGUUUACUUGGAAAAAUAAAUGAGAAUGAGAAUCAAUUUACCAUAAUACCCAUAGUAUUAAUAAUUAAUAAAAAUAAUUAAUUUAUCAUUAUUGUUGUUAUUAUUACUAUUAUUACUAUUAAAAAUAAUAUUAACAAUAAUUAAUAAUAACUAAAAUAAUAAAGUUAAUAAAAUAUUAUUAAAUUUUAUUAACUCUAUUAUUUUAGUUAUUAUUAAUUAUUGUUAAUAUUAUUUUUAUUAAUAUUAUCAUUAUUAACAUUUAUUAUUAUUAUUAAUAUUAUUAUUAUAUUUUAUUAACUUUAUUAUUUUAGUUAUUAUUAAUUACUGUUAAUAUUAUUUUCAUUAAUAUUAUCAUUAUUAACAUUUAUUAUUAUUAUUAUUAUUAUUAAAUUUUAUUAAAUUUAUUACUUUAGUUACUAUUAAUUAUUGCUAUUUUUAUUUUUAUUAAUAUUAUCAUUAUUAAAUUUUAUUAUUAUUAUUUUAAUUAAUAUCAUUUUAAUAAUAAUAUUUAUACAUGUAUCUAGAUAAUGAAAAUUACAUUAUUAUUAUUAUUAUUAUUAUUAUUAUUAAAUUUUAUUAACUUUAUUAUUUUAGUUAUUAUUACUUAUUGUUAUUAUUAUUAUUAAUAAUAAUAAUAAUAAUAACAAAAAUAAUGAUAAUAUUGUUAAUAAUGAUAAAUUAAUUAUUUUUUAUUAAUUAUUAUUUUUAUCAUUAUUUUUAUUGUUAAUAAUAAUAAUAUUAAUAAAAAUAAUUAAUAAUAACUAAAAUAAUAAAGUUAAUAAAAUUUAAUAAUAAUAAUAUUAUUAUUAUUAUUAAUGAAAUUUUAAAUAAUAAAAUUAAUUGUGAUUUGAAUGAGGGUAAUUUGGGAAAUAUGAAAAAAUUAGAGGGAUACAAAAGUAAAUAUAUAUUUCAUUCUCAUUCCCUCAUUUUUAUUCCCAACCCCUCAUGGGCUUGGGAUUCCCAUUCUUUAUUCCCAAAUUGUGUGAGACCCACACAUUUUAUUCUCAUUCCCAAAUUAUAUUUUGCCAAGUAAACAUGGGUUUCAUUCUCAUUCUUUCAUUCACAUUCCUCAUUCCAUGAAGUAAACAUACCAUAAAAGCUAAGUUUUAGUGUUUUAUAAAUUUUUUUAGUAAUUACUUUUGGUAAAAUCAUCUCAUCAUACAGUAGAUUUUGAAAAGUAGUGAAUGAAUAGUUUUUCAAAAUUUGAUUUUGAGAAUUACUUUUAUACUUAAUCCAAUUCUAUAUAUAUCCUCAUUAUAUAAUAAAAAUCCAAAAUUAUCUUUAUGAAUUAAGAAAUAAAAUCAUUAACUUAAAAUAGAUUAUUAUUAUUAUUACCAAUUAUAUUGAGAUAACAAAAUAGAGAAUACAAUUUAAUAAUAUAAAAUAUUUAUUUUAGUUAUCAAUAAUUAUAUGUACAUAAUAAAAAUAUUUUAUAUACAUGUUUGUAAAUGUGUAAAUAAAUUUUAUUUAGCAUUAUGUUCAAUUCAGUCAUUUAUAUUUUUUCACCAGUUUAAUAAUAAAAUUUACGAAACACAUACGUCUGCUUUUAAAACUAAAAGUACUUUUAAAAAUAAAUUUUACUAAAUGUUCAGCUGAUUCUCUUCACAAUUGAUCAAUUUCUACAGCAUAACUAACUGAAAUUAUUUUAAAAAUAAAAUUACCAAACUGACCCUAAAUCAAACCAAUAAAAAUGUUUAAAAGUAAUAAAAAUAAACCAAAGUAAAUGUACAAAAAUUCAUGCAUAAAUUGAUAAUCAACAAAAACAACCAAAAGUUUAACUCCAAGUUUUCUGUUCAAUUGACAUAACCCUUAAAUUUCAAAAGGCAUAAUCAAUUUUGUGUCUAAUCCUAUAAAAUUAGAAAAUUAAUGAAUUCAAGGGCAAAGCUACAUUGCAACAUGCCUUUGGUACCCCUCUCUUUUGUCUUUUUAAAGGUCAAUUAUAAUAGUGUCCUGGUAUUUGUUAUAAAAAUGAAAAUGUUGAAAAUUUUUAAAAUUUUACGCAUUAGUCCUACACCUACACAGUAUCAUUUUUCUCAUCCAUUUUGCACCAUCAAUGACAUCAUUUUUCUCACCCAUUUUAAUUAAAAGGUAAUUAAAAUUAUUUUCCAUAUAGAAACAGAAUAAUAAAAUAAAUUUUUUAUUCUUAUUUUUUAAUUAAUUAUAAAAAGAUAUUUUGUAUUAAAACAAUCACUAGUGACUACUGUUUCUUCGCGUGCAAUGAUAUUUUUAAUCGAAAGGGGACAUGAAGGGUUCCAUUAUAUUUGAAAUUGGAUGAUUUACAUAAAGAUAGUCUCAAUGCUAGCAAAUGGUGAUAUGUAAAGUUGCAUGCUCCUUCUAAAAUAACUGCAACAAUAACUAUACCACAAAAACACAAGGAGUUACAUUACACUACCACCUUUUCUUUUCUUUUCUUUUCUUUUUUUUUUUAAAUUUAGAGACCCUCAAUUUGGUUGUUAAAGGCAAUGAACCUUAAAACGUGAUGUAGGAAGCAUAUUAGAUAAAAUGAAUUAGAAUUUACUAGAAAUUAUAAUAUUUGGGUCAAUUUAAAAUUUAAUAUUUUAUUAAAAUUUAUCUUAUUUAUUAAGCUUACUUGAGUCAUAUUUGUAAUUCUAACCUAAUUAGGAUUUCAGAUUAUUUCUCUUAUUUGAGAAAGAUUAGCUACUAUUAUAUAUAUAAACUUGUUAUUCUUAAUUUAUGAUAACAGACACAAACUUCUUAUUAAUAAUUUUUAAUUUUUUCAUAAUUGAGAUAUCUUCUCCUUGGUGAGAGCAUCUUUUUAAAGUUUUCAAGACAUAAAUCAUAUUAGAGUUUUUUUCUGUACCAGGCAGAGCAUUCUCGACCACCAACUCCAUACAUUAGUUCCAUCAAGUUAAAAAAAAAAAACCCAACAAAACCCGAAGCCACCAUCACAUCCGUGCCACACGGCUGCCGCCGCCACUGGUUUCUCUUCUUUUUGGUCGAUCCUCUCUCCCAUCCAAAAGCCCUCACGUCGCCAAUCAUAACCCAACCCAUAACACCACCAUCCCGUCACCGUAGCCACGGGAAACUAGCCAAAACAGCCGCUGAACCACCACGAAAAUCCACCUCUCUAUUCGCUGCAAUCCGUUGCGAUUCACAUCCUCCACCACCACCCAUUCGUCCACGAUCAUCAGCUCUUUCUUUUCAACCCACUCACGCUGCCAACCCUCGGCCGGAUCGCCAGAAACUGAAACCAACCUCCACCCACUACUUUAACUCAACUUUUCAAUCAAAUCACAACUAUUUGAGACAAAUCACCACCAGCAUCACACUCAACACCAUCAAAUCUUCUAGAUCCACCUAUCCUAGGCCAAAUUUUCGACCAUCGUCGCUGGCAACACCAACUUUUGCCUAUUUAUAAUUUUGCCCCUUUACUUUUCUAUACUUAUACUAUUACCUAUAAUUUUAUGUUCUUUAAAAAACACCCAAAAACCAAACAAACUUAUAAAAAAAUAAAUAAAUUAGAAUUUACUAGGAAUUAUAAUAUUUGGGUCAAUUUAAAAUUUUGUAUUUUAUUAGGAUUUAUCUUAUUUUAUUAAGCUUACUUGAGUCAUAUUUGUAAUUCUAAUCUAAUUAGGAUUUUAGAUUAUUUCUCUUAUUUGAGAAAGAUAAGGAUUAAUUUAGCUACUAUUAUAUAUAUAGGCUUUUUAUUCUUAAUUUAUGAUAACAGACACAAGCUUCUCAUUAAUAAUAUUCAGUUUUUUCUCAAUUAAAAUAUCUCCUCUUUGAUGAGAGUCUCUUUCUUGAGUUUUCAAGACGUAUAAUAGAACGAAAUCUAGUAUCGCUUCCGCCCUGCGUUAAAAUGUCAUCUAAUCAUAGGGUCUUGUUAUAGUUGUUUGCAUUGGAAGGCUCAUCUAUCGCCGACAUAUCUAUUUAUCCGGCAACAUUGCCACCAUUACAUUGAUCAGAGAAUUUUGAAUACGUUGAUAGUUUUUUGUUUUUCUGUUCACUCACGUCUAUUUCUUAGUGAUGAUACCGUCAUUGUUGUCAUUGGUGGUGCAAUAAUUUUUAGCAAUAUUAUUUUGAUUUUUCAUUUGAUUUACAAAACUUAAAUAUUAAAUAUAAUACUUAAUUUUAGUCUCAUACACUUAAAUAUUACUAAUAUUCAAGUUCAUGGAUGGAUAUUGAAUAAAUCAAAUUCAGAGUAUUUUAUAUGGAUACUAUCCAAUCUAUUCAGAUCAGAUACUUAGACAUCCAACUUGAAUGGAUUUGUUUGCUCUUUCUAGCUGUUAACUUGAUUAAUAAUUCUAUUGGGUUUGGUUUUAAAACUCCUAAUAUGAUAAUUCAUUCAUGACACAAUUAAUUAUUCACUUAAUUAUAUUAAUUGACUUCUAUUUUAAUUGAUAGAUAUGUGUUGAAUUGUCAUCUCUAUUGUUAUCCAUGUGUGAUGUUAGCAAGAAAGAAGAAAGAAUAGAAAAUACUUAUUUUUAGUUUUUUUUAAAGAAAUAUUUAAAUUAUUUUCAAAUAGAGUAAUUGUUUAGAAUUUUUUUACCCUUCUCUCCGAUAAGUUAAUGACUAUUUAAAUAGUUGGGGUGGAGUAACAAAUACCAAUUUAUUUAAGCGUGCAAUUAAAUUAUUAUUAUUUAUUUAAGGACAAAAACUCAUUGUUAAAAAAAAGAUUUUACAAGUUAAUAAACUAACAUUUUAUUAUUAUUAGUAAAUUAACAUAUUUUUACUAUAUAAUUAAAUAGUUGAUAGUAUGUUUAAUAAAUAUUAUGUUACAAAAAAAAUUAACUACAUAGAAUAUGAAAUUAAGUUUAUUUUUGUAUUUUGUAUAUUUCAUCUACUUGAGAUAAUAAAAUCUCUUGUGUUGAAAAACAAAAUUAUGGGUUUUGAACCUUGUUCACAUAGGUGAGAGAUAAUUGGUUGCCAUUAUGUUAAAUUAAAAAAAAAAGAUCAUAUUUAUACUUAUCACUAAUUAUGGUUAGUAAAUAAUAUACAUGCAUUGUUUAACUAUAUAACAAAGUAGUUAAUUAAUUAAUUAAUUAAUUAAUUAAUUAAUUUAAAUAGAUAUUAAUAUAUGUAAGAAUAAGUCAUUUAAUUGGAAACCUAUUUCAAUGGAGUUAAAAAAAAAAGAGAGAAUAUUAUGGACUUAUAUGUCAAAUUUCAAAACUUUUGAUUUUGUUUAUUUUGCAUGAACAAUAAGGGUCUUUGAUGUUAAUAACCCAAUAAUCACAUCUCAGCCAUUACGCAAUUCUUACAUUAAAUCCAACGGUAGGUUUGAAAAAGACAAAAAAUAGGGUACCAAACCCCACGGGUAUUGUAGUUGGACCCUGAAAUUCAAACUCCUUUCACUUUUCUGUUGUUUGGUUUUCACUAAUAUAUGGGAAUUUAAUUUCUAUUUAAAUUUAAUUUUCAUCAAAUUGUGCAUUUUGGAUUCCCCACCGAAGGCUGUAAAAUUCAAAUUCUCCUCCUAUUAGAAAUCGAAUCUUCCAAAAUUGCUCCUCUCAAAUAUUUAUCAAUUAUUUUAAUUCUUAUCAAAUAAUUCUUAUUUAUGAUUUUAUUUUUUCAAUUUAAAUUGUCACUAAGGAGCCUGACUUACUACCACAGAAAAGCAAAAAUACAAUUUAUAGAUUAUGAUAAUUCCAUGUAUUGUAUGAGAAUUGCAAUCUAAAAAUUUUCCCUACAAAACUUUAAAGAAAUUAUUAUUAUUACCAAUUAUAUGGACAUAACAAAAUAGAGAAUAAAAUUUAAUAAUAUAAAAUAUUUAUUUUAGUUAUCAAUAAUUAUAUGUACGUAAUAAAAAUAUUUUAUAUACGUGUUUGUAAAUGUCUAAAUAAAUUUUAUUUAGCAUUAUGUCCGAUUCAGUCAUUUACAUUCUUGCACUGAUUUAACAAUAAGAUUUAUGAAACACAUACGACUGCUUUUAAAACUAAAUGUACUUUUUAAAAUAAAAUUUACUAAAUGUUCGGUUGAUUCUUUUCACAAUUUAUCAAUUUCUACAGCAUAGCUAACUGUAAUUAAUUUUAAAGAUAUAGGAUUACCAAACUAACCCUAAAUCAAACCAAUAAAAAUGUUUAAAAGUAAUAAUAAGAAACCAAAAUAAACGUACAAAAAUUCAUGCAUAAAUUGAUAAUCAACAAAAGCAUCCAAAAGUUUUACUCCAAGUUUUCUAUUCAAUUGACAUAACACUUAAAUUUCAAAAGGCAUAAUCAAUUUUGUGUCUAAUCCUAUAAAAUUAGAAAAUUAAAUAAUAUUAUAUACUAAUAAUUAAAUAAUAUGCAAUUAAUAAUGUUUAAAAAAUAAUGUUAAACAUAUUGUCAACUAAAAUAAUUGGGAGAAUUGGAGUUCCAAGAUAAAUUCUUAUCGAGUCCCAAAUCAACAAUUGGGAUUAAUUUCAAUCUUAAACUCCGAAACUCCGACUGCUUUUAAAAUUGGUCCUAAUAAUAUGAACAAAUCCCAUUCUGAUCAGUAUGGGAUCCCAAUCCCAUACCUUUGGAUUUCGAUGGUAUUUAGUUGGAGGGAGAAGAGAGGAAGGAAAUGAAUUCAAAUUCCUUUCACUUUUCUGUUGUUUGGUUUUCACUAAUAAAUGGGAAUUCAAUUUCUAUUGAAAUUUAAUUUUCAUCAAAUUGUGCAUUUUGGAUUCGUCACCGAAGGCUGUAAAAUUCAAAUUCCCCUCCGAUUAGAAAUCGAAUCUUCCAAAAUUGCUCCUCUCAAAUAUUUAUCAAUUAUUUUAAUUCUUGUCAAAUAAUUCUUAUUUAUGAUUUUAUUUUUUCAAUUUAAAUCGUCACUAAGGAGUCUAACUUACUACCACAGAAAAUCAAAAAUACAAUUUAUAGAUUAUGAUAAUUUUACGUAUUGUAUGAGAAUUGCAAUCCAAAAAUUUUCCCUACAAAACGCUUUUUAAUCGACAGCAAAUACAUGCUUUCAAAUUUAGUCAGCUGAACUAAUUUUUGUUUUUUUGGAUUAAUUUUGAAAUGUUGCAUCCAUAACGAGCUGGUAUUGAAAUUAAUGUUAACAACAAAAAUAGAUGCAAAAGGAGAAAUAAGCAUCAUGGCCAUUAAUAUUUUGACAUUCAAUGUUGAUUUUGAUCCCACUAAAUUAAGCCAUCAAAAAUUGCUGGGAAGGGAGUAAUAUCUAUUUAUAACUGGAAAUUACUCACCGUACAAUGAUGAUUGGAGCUGCAUGUAUCAUUUAUUAUUAACAAUUAACUUAUGAAAUGCUUUGAAUGUACCUCCUAGGUCGUAUUUACUACACUAGUUAGGAGAAAUUACGAUGUUAAAUUAUUUGAUAAAUACUUAUUAUAAUUUGAAAAAUAUGUCACAUUUGUCCUCCACUUUAUGAUAAAAAAUUUAAAAUAUAUAUAAAUCAUUCAUUUUAUAAUCUUGAACUUUAUUAAAGUUCGAAAAACUAGUAUUACUCUAUAUGAUAUAAUAGUGUGAUGUUGUUACACUAUUUUACCAUAUAAAAUAUAUUUGCUUUCUUAUAUAUAAUGGUUCUGACAUCCUUAUUUUAACAAAGUGAUGAUAUCACUAACAAACUAAAUAACACAUAUUUCAAUACACCAAUAGAUUAAAAAGAUACAGUUCUUAAUGUGUUAAAAUAUAUGUUUCUUGUAUAUUAUUGAUAUUUUCACUUUAACAAAGCGAGGGUCUCCUCACUAUAGAAGUACUUUAUAAAUAUUCUUUGUAUUUUUGUGAAAAUUAUUAUUUAAAAGUCAUAUCUUACCAAAGACUAAUAGUUUUUAUUUUAUCACUAUACCGUACUUUUGAAGAUAGAACACCUCAAUACCAUGACCUUAAUUUUUGAACUCUGCUGUACAAAGUUGUUGGCUGGUCUAUUUAGUUUAGUCUUUCAAUUAUUUGUCGUUUGAACUGAGAUGAUCCGAAUAAAGCUAUAUAUCAAUAAUUUCCUAGUGAAACUUCGGGAAAAAAAAUAAAAAUCCUCUCAUAUAGUGGCAUUAUUUUAAUUCUCAGCUUGAUUAUGUUUUGAGUUAACUUAUAGAUUAUUUGAAAUAAAAAGAAUAUAAUUUAUUUUUCUAACUAAAUAUUUUUAAAUAAUUUUGUUAAUUUAAUGAGUAAUUAUACACUUACAAAGUUAUGAUAUAAAAUUUAAUCUAAUUUAGCUAAGAUGUCCAAUUUAAUACUAAGAGCAAUGUUAAGGAUCCCAAUAAUUGAGUCUCAGCUGAUAUGAUAGUCAUUUAUUAGAUAAUCGAAAUAUUAAUUUUAUUAGUUAUGAAAUUUAUUAUCUAAUAAAAAAAUAACACAUAACAAUUGGGUCUCAAGUUAGAAUUCUACUAUCGAAAUUCCUAACAUUAUUCUCAAAUUAAAAAUUCAUCAAAAUAAUAUCUAUUAUCUAAAAAUAUAAAUAUAAAUAUAAAACCAUAGAUUUACUCUUCAAUCUUCGUGAUUUGGCCGAUUUCUCUUAAAGCUUUGGUUUCUUUAUAAGUGCAACGAGAAAUAGUAAGAAGAUUAAAAAAGCAAUAAAGUAAAACUUUAAAAUUUUUAUUUCUUUAUAUUUUUAUCGGUCAUUUGACCGGUACUGGCGUUUGAUUUUCUGACCGAGCUACUGUUUAGUUCUAAGUUUUGGCAAUUAGAACUGGUGGAUGUCGACUGUUCAAUAAUGAUGGCAGCAUUGACGCAGUGGAAUAAGGAUCACAUAUCUCAAACUUUAGGUGAUGAUAUUGUUAGAUAUUUCAUUGAUUGAGGAUCACAUGUUUUAUGACCACUAUUGUUAGAUAUUUUAUUGACUUACUAUGUAAGUCAAGCAAUUAUUUUUAAAUAAUGAUAUUAUAAUUAAAAAUCAAGAAAUAUUUAUAAUACUUAAAGACUAAUUCAGAUUAUUAUUAUUUUAUAUGACUUAAUUAUUAGCUGACAAAUAAUUAAAAGGUCAUAGAACAAUAUUUUUAGGUCAAAUUUGUAUUCUAAUAUGACACAACUUGUACUUUCAUUCCUAUGCUAAAAUAUAUCUAACCUACUAAUAGUCAAGAAAUAUAUCUAUUCAUCACAUACUUGUUAGAAAGAUUAUCUACUAAUUAAUCAUUGAGACGAGAUUACGAGUCUCAACAUAAAUUAGGAUAAAAAUUAAUACAUUGAAAUUCAGAACAUUUCUUUUUCCUCCUUCUGCAGUUUAAAAAGGAGUCGCCCACGAGUACUGAAAUAAUUUUAUCAGAUUCGCUUGAAAGUAGUUUUACGAGCAAGCAGUUUUUCCCUCUUGAUCCCCGUAUUCGUCAGCUCCUACUCUUUGCCUUCAAUUCUCAGUCAAGUAGUAUCAGUUUUUGUUGUCAGCUCUCUUGAAUUUCACUGGAUCAAGUUUUCUCUUGGCAUCUGUUUUGUUGUAAUCUCCAGUCUUUGUUAAUUAGUUUCUCUCCAUUCCCAAUCUUGUUGUGGCCUGCUGUUGUCUCUGUUUGGUUCCAUAUCUACCCUUUGUACUUCUACCGUGUCAAGAUACCUUCAUUUUUUCCAUCUCUAUUACCAGUCAAUAUUUUUUCCGUCUUUCUUCUGGUCAAUUCUUCAGUUAUUCUGAUUGGUUCCCUUCGCCUCUAUUAUCUAAAUCAUUCCUUAUAUUAAUUCAAUCAGUUCUCGAACUAGAAAUUUUUUCCUUGUUUCCAUCUUCUCACCAGAUCCAUAACAGCUUUUACUCUUUCUUUCAUUUCUCCGCUUCCAAAACCGGAUAAACUGUCCAUCUUCGUUGUUUCGUUUUUUUUUUUUUUCACUCCCUCUUUGUUUCGCUCGUUUUCUAUUUUCUUGUCAGAACUUUGAAAAAAAAAAAAAAAGGGAUCCAGGAUGGUGGAAAGCAUUGUUACUGUUGUUUUAGAAUUUUUGAAAUGCUUGGCUCCUCCAACAGAACGCCGAUUUGGUUAUUUGCGUAACUAUAAAGCCAACGUUGAGAAUCUCAAGGCAGAAAUAGACAAGCUCAAGGAUGAAAGGAGAAGCAUUCAGCACAGGAUUUCUGAGGCUGAAAGAAAAGGGGAAAAGAUUGAAGAGAAGGUUGAGAAGUGGCUGGUUCGUGCGAACAACACCAUUGAGCAGUCAGCCAAAUUCAUUGACGAUGAGGAGACAACAAAUAAACGAUGUCUCAUGGGCUUGUGUCCUAAUUUGAAGACCCGCUAUCAGCUUAGCAAGGAAGGAGAAACAAAGGUGAAGGCCAUUGUUGAACUCAAAGAAGAAGCUGGGAAAUUUGAUGAUAGAAUUUCCUACCGUACCAUUCCGGAGGAUAUAUGGCUCAAGUCUCACAAAGGCUACGAGGCCUUCGAAUCAAGACUUUCUACUUUGAAGGCCAUACAAAAUGCAUUGAUCGAUGUUGAUGUCAGCAUCAUUGGGGUCUACGGCAUGGGCGGCAUUGGAAAGACGACACUGGUGAAGGAGUUUGCAAGGCGAGCCAUUGAAGACAAGCUUUACGAUAUGGUGGCUUUUUCGGAGGUUACCCAAAGUCCAGACAUAAAAAAGAUCCAAGAGGAAAUUGCGGAAACGUUAGGCCUACAGUUGUCCGAGGAAGCUGAGUCUAGAAGAGCUGGUAGACUAUAUGAAAGAUUGAAGAAUGAGAAGAAGAUCCUUGUGAUUCUGGAUAACAUCUGGAACCCUCUUGAUUUGGGGACUAUUGGAAUUCCUUUUGGAGUUGAGCACAGAGGAUGCAAAUUAUUAUUCACAACAAGAGAUCUUGAUGUGCUGUUAAGGAUGGGAUCUGAAAAAAACUUCUCGAUUGGCAUUUUAAAUGAACAAGAAGCCUGGAGAUUGUUCAAGAUAAUGGCUGGUGAUUAUGUUGAAAAUCGUGAGUUAAAAUCUACAGCAACAAGUGUAGCCAAGGCAUGCGGAGGUUUGCCUAUUGCCCUAACCACAGUAGCAAAGGCACUGAGAAAAAAAGAGCUGCCUGUGUGGAAGAAUGCCUUGCAAGAACUCCAAACGCCUUCAGAGGCGAGCUUCGACGAAGGAGUACCAGCAGAGGCAUACUCAACAAUUGAGCUGAGUUACAAGUACUUAAGAGGUGAGCAACUCAAGAAAACUUUUUUACUGUGUAGUCUUAUUACGCCAGCACCAAUUAUGGACUUGUUCAAAUAUAGCAUGGGCUGGGGUGUAUUUAAAAGUGUCCACAAGCUAGAAGAUGCACAUAACAAAUUACAUGCAUGGGUCCAUCAACUAAGAGACUCUUGUUUGUUGCUUGAGGAUGGUGGCAGUAAAUACUUUUCUAUGCACGACGUUGUUCGCGAUGUUGCCAUUUCAAUUGCAUGUCGUGACAAAAUUGGAUUUGUGGUGACAAAUGAGGAUGAUUGGAAAUGGCCAAAUGCAGAUGAAUUAAAAAAAUAUCUUGCAAUUUCUUUAAAAGAUAGUAUUAUUAAUGACAUUCCUGAAGGGUCCGAAUCUCUACAACUUGAACUUCUAGUCAUGUCUCCCAAGAACUCUUUUGCUGUGCCUAAUAUUCCUGAGAACUUCUUCAAAAGGACGAAAAAGCUUCGGGUUUUGGAUUUUACUGGAAUGCGGUUAUUGUCAUUGCCAUCUUCAAUUGGUCUUCUAGUAAAUCUUCAGGCACUCUGUCUUAAUCAAAGCAUUUUGGGAGGCAUAGACAUAGCCAUUAUUGGAAAGUUGGAAAAUCUAGAAAUCCUCAGCUUUUUGCAAUCUGAUAUUGUAGAGUUGCCUAAAGCACUGGGUCAACUGACUAAGCUAAGGCUGUUAGAUUUAACAGACUGUUUCCGUCUGAAAGUUAUUGCCCCAAAUGUCAUAUCAAGCUUAAUCCGAUUAGAAGAAUUGUAUAUGGGUAAUUGCUCCAUUGAAUGGGAGGUUGAAAGAGCCAACAGCAAAAGAAGUAAUGCUAGCCUUGAUGAAUUGAUGCAUUUACCUCGGCUAACCACUCUAGAAAUUGAUGUUAAAAAUGAUAGUAUUUUACCAGGAGGCUUUUUGGCCAGAAAGCUCGAAAGGUUCCAAAUACAUAUUGGAAAUGGGUUAUUCACACAUCCCAUGCUUUUUAGACACAGAUGGUUUAAAAGUUGGCAGCACUUUGUGAUCGACAGAGAUCGCAAGAGUUUAAGAGCAUUGAAGCUCAAGCUUGAUUUUAUGGACAUUUGCUCCAUGAAAUUGCAGGGCAUCAAUAACGUUGAAUGCUUAUGGUUGGACAAGCUGCAAGGCAUCGAGAGUGUUCUUUUCAAUUUGGACACGGAGGGCUUUUCACAAUUGAAGCUUCUCUGGGUUCAAAAUAAUCCUGACAUCUUUUGUAUCGUCGAUUCCAGGGAGAUGGUCGCUUGUGAUGCCUUUCCUCUUUUGGAGUCACUUAUCCUUCACAACUUGAUCAACAUGGAGAGGAUAUGUAUUGAUCGGCUCAAAGUAGAGUCUUUCAACAAACUCAAAACCAUAGAAGCAUAUAGUUGUGAUAAAUUGAGUAAUAUCUUUUGGCUCUCUACUACAAAAUGCCUUCCAAGACUUGAGAGAAUUGCAGUUAUUAAUUGCAGCAAGAUGAAAGAGAUUUUUGCAAUUGGGGAAGAAGUUGAUAAUGCAAUUGAGAAGAUAGAGUUUGCUCAAUUAAGAUAUUUGAGUCUGGGGAAUCUUCCAGAGGUUACAAAUUUCUGCCGUGAAGUAAAGACUCCUUCAGCAUCACCAAACAGACCAGCGUCGCAGGAGGAAUCGACGACUACGUAUAGCUCCAGCGAAAUCACUUUGGAUACUUCAACUCUGCUUUUCAACGAGAAGGUGCGUAGGCUAACAUUUUCUUCAUAUAUAACAGAUUUUAUUCAUAUAAUUAAGAAAAUUGGUCAACUCAAAUGGACUUAAUCAUUUAAUUUUUCGUAAUUAAAUCAUUUAAAGAAUGGAAAGAAAAUGGAAAAAAAAGGAUAAAAAGAAUCUCACGCGCUCACUAAUUGAGCUCUUAACAAGUAGUAUGAAUUAGAAUGCAUACUCAGCUGUCAGUUGGAAAUUGAUUCAGACUUGCAUUAAUUUGUAAUCAAAGAAGAAAAUUUCAACAAGUGCUUCCCAUAUGGAUAUUGGAUCUAACGAGAAAUUCUUAUUUUUUUAGGUUGUGUUGCCUAACUUGGAGGCUUUGGAGAUAUAUGAAAUUAAUGUCGACAAGAUUUGGCACUACAAUAAUCUUCCGGUCAUGUUUCCUCGCUUUCAAAAUUUAACACGAUUGACUGUGCAUCGUUGUCAUAAAUUAAAAUACAUAUUUUCAGCGUCUAUGAUCGGAAGCCUUAAGCAGCUCCAACACCUAGAUAUACGACUCUGUAAGGAAUUACAGGAGAUCAUUUCUGAAAACAGAGCAGAUCAAGUGACCCCUCAUUUUGUCUUUCCACCGCUCACCACUCUGAGACUCGAUGGUCUACCAAAACUUAGAUGUUUGUACCCUGGAAUGCAUACUUCGGAAUGGCCCGCGCUAGAAAUUCUUUAUGUGUAUGGUUGUGACAAAUUAAAGAUAUUCGCUGCAGAUUUAUCGCAGAAUAAUGAGAAUGAUCAACUUGGUAUUCCUGCACAACUGCCCCCCUUGCCGUUGGAAAAGGUAUGAAGCCAUUUUCUAGAUUUUUUAUCAAUAGCUUAUUUUUAACUUUGAAAAAUAUGACAAAGUAUCGAUAAAUUAAUACUCAAUAAAUUAAAAACUUUUAUUAUACAAUAAUCUUUGUUAGUCUAGACUAAGGGAUCAAUGUGGUAGAUUAAUAAUUAUAUGAAUUGUUUUAGGUAUAGCAUUUGUAAAAGAAUCCUCAGUCUUUCCAUAUAGAAGAACUUACAAAAUAAAUUAGUAAUUUAUUAUUGUGCAAUAAAAUAAUUUCGAGCCUGUAUAAAUCAACAUUUUUUCCCUAAUUUCUUUUUUACCUCUAAAAUUAACAUAUAAAAAAUCAUUUAAUAAAUUUUAUCAAUAAUUCAAUCUUUUUUUUUUUUUUUGAGAAUGAUGAACUUGAUACUCCUGCACAACAGGCCCUAUUGCCGUUGGAAAAUGUAUGAAGCCAUUUUCUAGAUUUCUAUCAAUAGCUUAGUUUGAACUUUAAAAAAUAUGACAAAGCAUCAAUAAAUUAAUACUCAAUAAAUUGAAAACUUUUAUUAUACAAUAAUCUUUGCUAGUCUAGACUAAGGGAUUUAUUGAUAGAUUAAUAAUUAUAUGAACUUUUUUAGGUAUAGCAUUUAUAAAAGAAUCCUUAGAGCAUCACCAAAAGACUCUUUAAAUAAGAUUUUAUUACUUAUUUGAAGAGCCACAUCAGCAUUUAAAGUUCCAAAAGAUACUCCAAUUAAGAUUCUUCAAAUAAGAAAUGAUCAUCUCUCUUCAAAUUUGGAGAGUUGCAUUCCCCCUCUUCAAUUUAUAUUUUAUUACUUUUUGUUGGAGAAAGAGAGAGAGGUGUUUUAAUUACUAUUGACUUUUUAUUUUUUAAAAAUAGUUAUUUAAUUAAAAUAAUAUUAAUUCAUUUCUAUUUGAAGAGUCUUUUGGAGAAUAACAUAUUUUUUCACUUUUCUAUUUGCCACAUAGGUAAGCAAAUAGAAAUUUGAAAGAGUAAAAUUUAUAGAGCCUUUUGGAGAUACUUAGUCUUUCCAUAUAUAAGAACUUACAAAAUAAAUUAGUAAUUUAUUAUUGUGCAAUAAAAUAAUUUCCAGCCAGUAUAAAUCAAAAUUUUUUCCUUAAUUUCUUUUUUACCUCUAAAAUUAACAUAUAAAAAAUCUAAAAUAUAAUAUAAAACAAAUACUAUAAAGUCACUGCGUGUGAUUGGAUUACUUAAAAUCAUUUGAGAGAACAUCAAUUGACCUUAAUAAUUAUUAUGAUUGAUGAUGAUCAGAUCUUACCCAACUUGAAGGACCUAACAUUAAAUGGAAAAGACGUGAAGAUGAUUUUGCAGGCCGAUUUCCCCCAACCCCUUUUUGGCAGUCUUAAACAACUAAAUAUUGUUGGCGAUGACUCAGCUUGUUUUCCAAUCUGGAAUGUACUUGAGAGAUUUCACAGUCUCGAAAUACUCAUACUGUGUUAUUUUUCAUUCCACGAAGAGGUAUUUUCGAUGGAAGGAUGCUUAGAGAAACAUGUGGGGAAGUUGGCAAUGAUAAAAGAAUUACAGCUGCACCAGCACUAUCAUCUUGAGCAGCUGUGCAAACAAGACUCCAAACUUGGCCCCAUUUUUCAGUAUCUUGAAAUUCUAAAAGUAUAUGAUUGUCAAAGUCUGUUAAUUCUAUUGCCAUCAUCAUCGGUAUCUUUUCGGAACCUAACGGAAAUUGUAGCUUUCGGUUGCAAGGAAUUGAUACACUUGGUAACAUCCUCCACAGCAAAAACUCUAGUGCAACUCGUCACAGUGCGUAUGCGUGAAUGCAGAGCGAUGACAGAGGUGGUAAUAAAUGACAAAGAAGGAGUUGAAAAAGAAGAGAUUGUUUUCCGCAAAUUGAAGACGUUGGAACUGCGUGAUUUAGAUAGCCUCACAAGUUUCUGCUCUGCCAAUUACACCUUCAAAUUCCCAUCUUUGCAAGAUUUGUGGGUGAUUGGUUGUCCCAAGAUGAAGAUUUUCACUACAGGAGAAUCAAUCAUGCCUCUAAGAGUAAACGUCUGCUAUGGAGAGACAGCGGAUCAACGGCGCUGGGCUAAUAAUGAUCUAAACACAACCAUACAACAAUUACAUGCUGAGAAGGUACGUAUAUACAUAUUACUCUCUAUCUCCCAUGAUAAAUUUUUACAAAAUUUGCUUUCUUAAAUACAAUAUAGAUAAGAUAUUUUUUAUAAAGUAAAAGUUUAAAUUGAUGAAUAAGAAUUUUACUUUCAGCUGUUGGCGGUGUCGUCGUCAUACUCUACGCAGUACGACUAAUUUCAUAGGCUUCUUAUGACUUGGAGUUGCGAAUUUUUAGAAGAAAGUCUCAACUGGUAAUUAAUUUUUAUUUCAUUUAUUUAAUCCCAUGGCUUGUUUCGCAAUUUCAUCUGAAUUAUUUAGAAUGGAUCCCUCGGUUUACUGUUAAAUUUGCAAUGCAAUUUUAAUGAUCCUUUCAGACUUUUAUGGACAGAUUUUGCAUAAUUGAAUGUCUUUUUAGUCUAGUUUAAUUUGAGUCUUUUUUUUUUUUUUGGCGAGCUCCCCUCGUCUUCUAAAAUUUUGUAACUCCUUGCAUACGUUUUGAUGAUAAAAUUUCAUUAAAAGCCUUCGUAUUUUUUAAAUCCUUGAAAACGUGCAUACUUUUUCCUUUCUUUCUUUGCCAAUUAUUUAUCGUCAUCAUUGCUGUUCUUUUAUUUUACUUUGUGCUCUGUUUGUUCAUUGGGUUUGCUUUUCUUCACACCUAUAUUUCCUUGGAAAGUUAGAAGGCAAGGAAAGUACUUAGAAAAUGUUCUUCCCUAUGAACACAUAAUUAAAGAACAGCUGAAUAUCAUUAAUCGGAUUAAAAAAAUUAAAAAAAAAAAGUAAUCAGUGCAUAUUCAUAAUAUUUUCUCUGUUGUUCCUGUUAAAAUUUCUCUACUCUAUGAUUGCAGAAUGUUUGGAUACUGAUGAAGAUUUAAGUCACUCGUCCUCUGUGAAUAAGGUCGUUUUCCUUUUUUCCUCUAUUCAAAGUUUACAUUCUGAGGGGUUCCCGUUUCCAUCUUCGUGAUCUUCUUGUGAUUCACUGCAUUGUGUCGCUACAUCUGUGAUAGUGUGAGUUGCAACAUGUCUGUUUCCUUUGUUUGAUCAUCGCAAGUCCAAAGACAUUUCAUUCUAGCUAAGCUCUUUGUAUGUAUUAAAAAAAAUUUAUUCUCAAUAUAUAUGACUCAAUGAGUGGUCUUUUAUUAUAUAUAUGUCAUGAAUUUCUAUUGUAUUUUGAGAUUUGAUGGUGUAUUAUUGUCUCAUUGAAAGGUCUUGUAAUCACUCUGAUUCUCAUUUGAGGAGGUUGGUCUCGUCUAUGUGUAUGUAUUUAUAUCCACAAGAAAUUUGAUAAAUGGUCUUGUCGUUUUAUCAUUAAAACAUCUAGUGCUUCAUAGGUUGGAGGGCUACCAGGCAUCAGGGCCAGAUUUUUAAACUCAAAGUUAUUCGUGUCAUUUACCCAUUUGAUUAUCAAAUAGUCAUAAAAGCAUAUAAAUUCAAGUCAGUGUAUCAUUUGUACACAAUAUACUAAAACUAACACAAGAACUUGGCCGACAUUUUCAGUUGAAUAACUCAGACCCCCCUACUUCCUCGGGCUGACAGCCCAAAGUGAAAAUAUCUAAAAAAAAUAGUUUGCUCCACAUCUAUCUUUCCUAACUUAGGAAGGCAAGGAUUUUGAAAGCUUUGCUUGAUAAAAUCUGAAAGUUCUGAAGAAGAUUCAGGUCACUCGCGUGCAGCCUCUGGAAUAAGAGCUGUGUUACUGUUUAAAAGUUUUCAUGCUCUGGAAUAAAAUUUGCUUUACUGUGUUACUGGUCAACUUCAUUAUUCUACUAAUGCUUUACUUCAUCUUCAUUGUAUCACUACAUUGACAGCGUUGACAGUGUAACUAAAACCCUUGCGUUCACAAGCAAUUUUGAUCACAUUAAACUUUUAAGAAAUUAUCUUUUAUAGCCAUCUUCCAUAUUAUUAGGAGGAGUCGUUUUCACUAUUUUUAAGAAAUUUUGAUCACAUUAAACUUUUGAUCUGAGUUCAUAACAAAAAUCAAAACGGUGCAUGACAUCAAGAUUAUGAUGAAUCAAAUUGAACUCCCAAUAUGUUAGUUCAUAAAAAAUGCUUUUCUUCUUCCAAGUAAUCUUAUCAUUUCUUUCAUUUUAUUCAUUCUCCUCUUUUCUCCUCUUUUCAAGUCUUCAAUCUUAAGUACAUUACUGAACUGGUUUUUCACCUCGGCUCCAGACAACCGAGAAGGUGCUUGUCCCCACUCUCUAGUUUUAUCAGAUGGCACUAUAUUUUCGGAACCUAUGAUUUGUUGGUAAAAAUCGACGGUGACCCACGUGACAAUUUUCUACUAUGUAUCAACCAAUUAGAUCUAGUGUUUUGUUGGCAAACAAGAAAUGCUUAUUUACCUUUAAUACUCCACCCAAACAAGUUGGCAUAUGCUAGAAAGUCGGAGAUAGUCCAUAACAAUGCUGCGUGUGACUUGAACAUUUGAUUACGUGAUGCAUUAUGCACCAUUCCAACCAUACUAGCAUCACUACCCGAGUCAUGACUAACCUGUUUCUUAGUUAGAUUUCAAAGAUGAAGAUGGCUCACCCUCCAAUAUCCAGUUUUAAUACUUUAACCAAUAGCCAUUUAUAAUGAUAUGGUCUCUUGCCACUUUCCUUAUAAUGAAAUAUCGAUAUUACAACACCUCUUAGAAGGACAAUAAAUUCUUUUAUCACCAACAACAUUCUCAAAUGCAAAAUCUAUAAAUUUUUUGACCCCCAUCAGUAUAUGAAUUGGAUAUCUAUUUGGCAAACCAACCCAACUCUGGUCCAUGACUAUCUCCUUUUAUUGCACUAGAAAAAUUAGUUAAAUAAAUCACUUUAAUUCUUCAUUUCUACUACUAAACAAGAUAUUUUCAUGCGUGCGCAGUUUCGCAAUAUAAUAAAAAAAAUUAUUAUACAAUUUUAUGGUUUUAUAUAUAUGGAAGCAAGCAAAGCCACAAGAAUCAGAGAAAAAGAUGUGAAAAUUAAAGUAUAUAUACAAUAAUAAUUAAUCUAAAAAACAGUUUGCAAUACCUUCUGUAAAGAAAUAUCCUCACCCACAGCUGAGAACUUCACUUGGCUAUCAAUUACAGAUAUAUAAAGCCUGUUACCUAGAAACAAAAAAUUAGGUCAGCCAGCUGAAACAUAUUUAUAAACCAACAUUGGAGAUAGUACUCCAUUUAUAAAAAAAAUUACAAGACUCAAAACCAAGUCGACUCAGCAAAAUCAUAACCGAUUACAUUCAUCCCACUCAGCUCCUCCAAUAUAUCCAACAUUCCCUUCAUAUUUACAAAAGGUAAGUGGUCCUAUAUAUCCCACUCAAGAAUGCAUAAGUUUCUUCAAUCUUAAGUAUCUAAAGUUUUCCUCUACGUUUAUAGAAACUUCGGAAGCAUCUCCCUAUAGUUCUUCAAGUACACGACAUAGAUAUAUGAGUGUUUAUGUGUUAUGCCAAAACAAUACAUGACACCCAUUUGUCUAGUAUGCACCCAGAGAACAUGAGGAGCAGCUGCUGAAAAACCCAUUUUUACGUGGGAAAAAAAUUUCAGGCACUAGCUACCAUAGAAAUCUAUGCAUUACCAAACUGUCCAAGCCUAGAUAAUUCAAGAAUUAUUAAUAGACAUAAGAUCCUCACUAUCAUCCAAAAGAUGACACUAAUAAAACAUGUGUCUAUUAAUAAUUUCUUAAAGGAGUUUAAGCUUUCAAUGCAUGUAUCAAAAGUUUAAAAUUGAAUCUGAAACUUGAAUAACACAUAAAAAUCAUAAAUCUCUUCAAUUUAUUCCUAAUAAAAUGUAGCAUUUUUUCACAUUUCAUUUCUUAAGCAAAACCAUAAAAAAUUACAAACAACAAAUACAUUUUCUAGCACUGAUGCACAUUAUGUUUACUGAGCAAUAAGUUUUAAGUCAUUCAUAUUAAAAUACUUCUUCCUAUUCUAUCAACAAAUAACUAGUAUGUACACACAAUUAAUAAAUUAAAUGUAACCUGGUUGUGAAUCUUGCAAAGUCUUCCUAUUUGGUUUUUUUUUUUUUGGUGGUGGUUGGGGGGGGGGGGGGUGGUUAUGCUCAUUUGUAUGUUGUUAACAGAAAUUGAUCCAAAGCCUCCGUUUUAAUUAGCUUCAUUAUAGCCAAUGAUUAGGUGUUUAAAAACCAAUGAAUAUUUUUUAUAAGAAAUCAACAAUAUUGUUGAAAGAAAAACCAAAUAAAAAUAAUAAAGCAAUGCAUAGAUUAAGGCUCUUUAUUAUCUAAUAACUAAUCAAACUAAGUUGUGGGUAAAGGCGAAUAUGUUUGUUUGGCCAAUAAUAAACUCAAGGAAUCACCAAUAAUCACCUAGUUACUAUUCCUUAUGCCAUGCAAUGUAAUGGCGUCGGUAAUGGCGACAAGGCAGGCAAUAACUAGCUAGCUAGUUAUGAUAGUUGCUUAACUUAACCUACUGGAAAUCUGAAGACCAAAAUGAAGAAACUUUGUCUAGAACUAGAAUAGGAAAACAUUCAUACCCAAAACCAAUAUACAUGAUUAAGAAACUUGAUUAUAUGUAUAUUUUUGUUUGCCACACCAAAUCCCACUAUUUCCAUACUCAUAAGCACAAAAAACCAUCGCAAAAAUGAAUGACCAUAUAAAAUAAAAUAGGUCGUAGGACAUUGAGUAUAGGACAAUAUGAUUUAUGUACCGUAAAAUAACUAUAUCUGCAGUCAACUAUAUUUCUGUUCGAACUCUAAAGUUUUCCAUUAAAUUUUUUCCCCUGUUAGGUAAACCACUUAACUGAAACACUUAAGCAAGAUUGACAAUCAUAGACAUAAAAGUAUUAGGCUCGUUCAAGUGAAAUGAGCAUUAUUUGACAUAUCCUUUAGGCUUUUAAGUCAUUUAGAAGUCAUUCAUGUUAAACAAUUUCUUCAUAUACUUUCAAUAUAAUUAGUACAUACACAAUUAAUUAAUUAAAUAAAUCUGUUUCAGCUAGCACAGGAACUUAAGCAAUCAGAGCUAUUAGUUAUAGCUAGGACUUGAAUGAGGCACCUUUCAAAGUUCAAGAGGAGCAUCUGAACAGAAUGAAAGCAUUUUGUAGAAAUGGUAGUGAUGCUUUACAUCUACAUGCUCUUACACAAUAUGAACUUUCAUUUAUUCAAGAACAUAACACUAAUCCAAGCUCUUACUCUACAAGUCAAUUCAGUUUGUAGAUGCAAGCCAUUGUAAAAACUUUUGUGUUAUAAUUUCCGUAAAUGGAACAUGACAUUACUAAUAUAGAAUCAGCAAUGUUAUAUAACUUAUCAGACAAUAUAACAAGCACUUGGCGAGCAUAUAAGAUAAACUAAAACAAGUUAAUUAGAAAAUGAAACUAAAACCCAAGCUCCGCUAUUCAUUGUAGAAGCUUUAAACAUAAAAUAAAAGUAAAUCUAAAUACAUGAUUGUAAAACAUUAGAAUGAAUGUUGAAAUGAAAGCUAAAUUCAAUAGUAAUCCAAAUGAAUCCAUUUGAACUUUGUAAAUUCCGCAGAACAAAAUUAAUUUGAGUGAGCAAAGUCACCAAUGGAACAAGAACAGAAGGGCUUCAACUUCUAGGAACAAGAAAUAUUGCCGGCGGGACAAAAAUUGACAUUAAUGGUUACAAUACGAAUUAAAGAAAUCAAAACCUAUAAUUACAAGCUAAGAAAGAGAAGAAACUCAUAAUCACAAGCUUACCUGAAACGAUGAGAGAGAUAAUAAGAUGAAGAAGAAGAUCGCCGCCGUUUUACGCCAUUCUCCGGCUACCAGUAAGGUUUAGGAUGGCCAGGCACGCACGAGAGAGAAUUUGGGACUUUGGUUUUGAAAAUAUUGACUUCAGCAAAUAGUUUUCUAUUUAGAAACAAAUUUAUAACUCUACCGUCAAAA
rnacentral:lncRNA from 1 species